CCCCACCACCACCAUCACCGCCACCGCCAUCUCCUUCGCCUCCACCACCUCCAGUUUACUCCCCUCCUCCACCUCCACCAGUUUACUCACCUCCACCACCCCCUCCUCCCCCACCGCCACCACCACCUGUUUAUUUUCCGCCACCACCUCCACCUUCACCACCACCACCGUCUCCCCCUCCACCCUCACCCCCACCACCUUCUCCAUCACCGCCUCCCCCUCCCUCGCCACCACCACCGGUAUUAUCGCCCCCGCCUCCAGUUUAUUGCGUCCGUUCCCCACCACCGCCACCGCCAAAUUCUCCCCCGCCUCCCAUUUAUUCUCCACCACCACCUCCAGUUCAUUCACCGCCCCCACCAAGUCCUUACUAUAGUUCACCACCGCCCCCGCCGCCACAUCAUUCACCUCCACCACCUCCCCACUCGCCACCCCCGCCUCCACCUAUCUAUCCAUACGCAUCACCGCCACCGCCACCCGUGCAUUCCCCACCACCACCUGUCCAUUCUCCACCACCUCCAUGCAUAGAACCGCCUCCUCCUUCUCCACCACCCCCAUCACCACCUCCAUGCAUAGAACCGCCUCCUCCUCCUUCUCCACCACCAUGUGUAGAAUAUUCGCCACCUCCACCAUCACCACACUCACCACCGCCACCACCAGUUCAUUACUUGCCUCCACCAUCACCAUCACCCCCACCACCACCUGUGUAUGCUUCUCCGCCACCUCCACCAUCUCUGCCUCCCCCAGUUUACUACCAUUCUCCGCCCCCACCCUCACCACCUCCUCCAACCCCAUGUGAAAAUCCUCCACCUACUCCAUCACCACCGCCCCCAAUCAUUUAUGAGAGCCCACCACCUCCAACCCCUGUAUAUGAGGGGCCAUUGCCACCAAUCUUUGGAGUUUCAUACGCUUCUCCACCGCCACCACCCUUCUAUUGAUUCUUUUGAGAAUUUUCCUCCUCUUGACAUUUCCUCAAAGAAACAAAAUUUACAAUUAUAUUAGUGGUCAUGGCCUCUUUUCCCUGUUCUCCAUCAAAACUUCUUCCUCUUUGGGCAAUUCUCGUCGCCGGGUGAGGACUAAUAAGAAGAUUCAAAAUGUCAUAGAGCUUAAUGAAUUAUUGCGGCAAAGGUGCUUCACCAUGGUGGGUAUUAGUUGUUGAAGAAGAAACAGAGAAGAGGCUAAAGAAAGAGGAGGUAAGAGGAGAAAGUCUCUCCAUAUUUAUUUGAAUUGUUAUGGAUAUUUGAGUUGUGAAAUAAAAUGGCAGAGAAAGAUUAGGUUGCAGGAAAGUGUAUGUAUAGGGAUGAAUGGAGACCAUAAGAAGAGUUAGAAGGCAGCAGCACUUCUGCUGCUGCUGGUUUGUUGGUUUAUUGUUAUUAUCUCUGUUAUAUCAUACUUUUAUUUCUUUUGCUUUCCAAUUUAUAGUAUAAUCAUGAACAUUUACUUGUAUUGAUUUUCAGAAUUCAGAUCAUUCCUUCUUCUCCUUUGUGUCUUAAUUUCGCUGCGUGUUUUGAUUGAUGGAGAAGCUCAUGUUUGUGAAUCAAUUUAAUUAUGCUUGGGUGUUUCUAUAUUCGUAUGCUUGUUCAUUUUCCAAAUUACUCAAAACAAGCUUCCAACUCGAUUUAGGAAAUGAGUAUCAGUCACUCUCUCCCUAUAUUUCAUCUCCAUCUGGGGUUUGAUGAUGAUGGGGCUUGAUCUAGCAAAACCCGUGCUUCCCAUGACUGACACCAACAUCAAGUUUCCAGUAUAUGGGGGAAGUCUAUUCAAUAUUUAUUUGGUGGCCAGUGUUUCAAUAUAAAAUGGAAGUGGAAGUUUUGAGUCCUUCACAAUAUUGGUUUGUGAAACUAGUCAUAGAGGCAGGCAGGUCCCCAUUGGAGAUCUUGGUGGGACUUGAACGGCCAUCUCAAGUGCCUUGAUUAUGGGGCCUUUAGAUUGAAUCCCCUCAUGGGACCCUUCUCAUUCGGUUGAUGCAAUUGGGAUUGGUACCAUGUGCCCCCCCCCCCCCCCCCCUCCAAAUUUUAAUUUUGAAAUCAAACCUGUUCACCUCACCCUCACACUUUCCCAUGGGAUUUUGGAAUAUUUUCUCUUAUAGUCUUAUCUCAUCACAUGCAUCUGAUGAAAUUGGCUGAAAACUAUAGUGCUAUUUUUAUGUUGUUGCUUUGCUUGGUUGUGAGGUUCUUUUGAAAAGCAUGCUUUGCCUUUUUUUAGUAUGGGUACAAGAAGAGAACUGGCUGAGUCUAUUCCUUAGAUGAAUCUCAGUUCUCAUCAGAAUCCAUACUUUGAAAUUCCAAUUGGCUACUUGCUCAGGUGAUGUUAUUGCUCCUUUCUUUUGGAAAAAGUCAGUGGGUCAGCUCCAUUCUCUUUCAGUUUGUUCCUCUUUGGAGAUCCCUUAUCAUCAUCAUAUGCCACCAUUUAUUGUCGUUGUUUCCCCUCUCUUUUAAAAGCUAUGUGUUUCCAUAGCCGGCAGGGGAGGGAAAUAAAGUAAGCCAUAAGCCUAUAUGAUCAAAUAUUAGACCAGAACUUCCGCCAUUUUCGGCAUAUAAUCAACGCCACCUGGCCACCACUCACUUAUUUUAACAAAACAUAGUAAACUAGGAACCUUCAACCCUCCACAGCACGAAAAUGUUGCUGCCUCCAUUACCACCACCCACAGCCAUUGCCAUUGUUCUAGAAGCCUAGAACAGCUGCUGCUUAUGGUGGUUCUGCAGUACAGCCAUCCUUUUCCACCUUGCACGCCCACCACCAUCUCCACCUCCACGUCCACAUGGCAUUUCCAAUUGGCCUGUUCAAUUUCCUCUUAGACAAGUUGGAGGCAAGAAAUUCCUUCCAGAUCAUGUUGAGACUGGAGCACCACUUGACUCAUUCUUCUCAACAGACCCUACUGGUCUCUGGCUGGAUUUGGUAUACUUCCUACAUUGCAUGUGACACUGACAGACCCAUAUGCCUUAUUUCUUCACUAGUCAUUUUCUGCCAGAAAACAGUAAAUUUCCUUCUUCCUUGCUUGGAAACUGCAAUACAAGAAUUACCAAAUUGGUCGCUACUCUCCUCCAUAAGUAUGCUUAAUUGGUUAUACUCCAAUGAAUUUUGGAAAAAGCUGCUUCCAGAAUAAUUUCAAUUUCGAAUUCUCAACAGAAAGAGCAAUUCCAAUAUAGCAUCCUUCUUUUUCUUUUCAAUAAUAAGAAAAAAUAAAUAAAAAUACAACAACCAUUUCUUUGAUUGUGGAUAAGUGAAGUUAUCACUGUCCUGGAAAGAACAAUCUAAAAUAGUCCAAUCUAAUUUCGUCCAGCACUUUAGAAAGGGGGAGAGAAUAUCAAAAUGGUGGGGAAAAAUGUCUUAUACAAAAAGGUUAUGACAAAAUUGCAUCAUUGGGUUGGGGGCACCAUACCACCCACCCUAAUAAUAACAAUUAAUUAUUAUCAUCCAUUAUAAUAAAUAAAAAACUUCUUUAUUAAAUGCCCAAUAAAUUUCAACACACACAACAUUAUGAUGUGAAAUGUCCUACAACAAGGAAAGUGGUUCGAGUCCUCCUCUAGUAAUACUCCAUGGAUUAUAUUUGUAAAGCAUUUUUCUGUCAUUUUCCAAGCCUUUAAGCUUUGCAAAUGCCCUUUUUUUGUCUUUUUUAUUUUUAUUUUUGCAAUUUAGUCAAAUUUUAGCAUUAGACCAUACCCUUGUCACAAUUAAUAUUUUCCAAGCCUAACUAAAAACUUAGAAGAAAACUUUGUCCACUUUGUCAUCUUCUACCCUUCAUCAUCCAAAGGAUGGUGAUGUAAAAUAAAUAGAAGUGGGCCCAAAAUUGAGGACCACCACAUGGGGUGUUAGGGCUUUUCACACCAUAUAUCAUGUAGAUUUUAAUGUAAUGAGUUGGUUGAGUCCACUUUCAUUACUAUAAAUGAGGACAUAACUUUCAUUUAUUAAGACCCUCAAUUGACAGCCUGUUAGUAGGUCUAAUAUUUUAAUGCCAUUUCAUAAAGUGAUGCUCCUCAAAUCCAUCCCAUUACCACCUUUUUCAUCUAAACUUAACCUUAACAAUAUCAUAGACUCUCUCUCCACCCAACCCUCUUCCCUCUCAAAUAUACAAUCCAUGAGAUUAGGCUGCUUAAGACACUUAGAUUAUUGUAGAAUAAUUAAUCCAAACAGAUGGGCAAUGUUUAAUAUGUAUUGACUCUUAGAUAUAAAUCAAAGGUCGCUAUAGUUGGUUACAGCAAAUUCGAGUAUUAGGUCAUUGCUCCAUCAGCCUUCGAGCUGGCACUGUCGCCUACCAAUGUUCCCCUGUGUCAUAUGCCUAACUUUUAGGCGUUCCAACAUUUAUUUUCCCAUGUGAUUUCCAAAUUAUCAUUUAUACCUUAACUUCCAAUCUUCUUUGAGAAAAAUAAAACAAAAUAUUUAGGAUUUUGCAAAAACACAAUCUCGACAAUAACCUUUGACCAUUCAGGUAUUCCCUUUUAAUGAUAUGGGUAUUACCUUCGAUUGACGACAGUAUAAAAUUUGAAUUAUUUUUACAUAAGUGUAUGAAAACUCAUUUUUCUUUAUUUUUUAAUAUAAUUUUCAUGGAUUGGAGGGGCACCCAAGGAUUUAAUGCUCUAACCGUUUGAGACCAAUUUUAGAUUGAUAUAAAUACAAAAUUAUGGUAGUAGGUUUACAUUAAUGUUAAGGAGAUGGGAAACUGUUGUGUCAUUCAUAUAAGGAAACACAACCGUUGUAUUAAUGAAUGCAUUUCCUUCCUAGUCAUAAAAUGGUUAGCAUCAAACUAUGUCAUUAUCCUUUUUUUUCUUUUUCUUUUUUUAAGGAUAAAUUACACUAAACAUUUGGUGGGGACGGAGUAAUUGGAGAUUAUUAUUCUAAUUAUUUUUUUAGUAUCAAAUUAAUGAAAUGGUUAGUUAUAAGCAUCCAUAUAAAUUGGUACUAGGAAUUAUAUAAUUAUAUUUGAAUUAAUAAUUGAAAUUAUAUAAAUGUAUAAUUUAAUGUAAUAAAAUUGAAUAAUGAUAUUUAUAAAUCAUAUAUAAUAUUAAAUAUAUUAACAAUUAAUAUUAUUACUAAAAAGAAGUUAAUGUAAAUCAAUUAUAAAAUGAGUCCCCAAUGGUCACCAGUUCCAAUUCCCUCCGAACCACUGGAAAUUAACUUCAAGCCCCGUGGAAUUAGUCAUUAAAAUAAAAGGUAAAAAAAUUUUAAAAUAAAAUAAAAUAAUUUCAAAAGUGUUCAUAAAGAAUAAUUCCACCCCACCUCCCUUUUUGAUAUCGAUUAGAGUUAGUUUAGUAAUGUUUUUGAAAAAUAUUUUUGAUCAAAAAUGUGUUUUUUUUAAAAUAAGAAUAAUAAAAAUAAGUUAAUAUUUAGGAAAUAAUUUUACAAAUUAUUUUUAAUUUUGAACAAUUAUUUAUAAUGUUUUUUUAAAAGAAAUAAUUGUUAAUCAAUUCUCUUUAAAACAUUAUUAGAAAAAAAACGUUUUUAACACCCUCCAAGUUGCUGUGAAAGAAACGACGUCGUUUCUUCUCUCCGUUGAUUAUCAAACGACGUCGUUUGCAAGUGUUCUUACACCAUGAAAUAUGCAACAAAAAAAAAAAAGGUAAUGAAUAAUUUGAUUGGUUAGACAUUAUCCUAGAAUUUUGUAGGGCACAUGCGCCUUUUUCAGCUUUGAUUUGAUUGAUCAGCCACGUUGAUACUAAGUAAUUGGGGGGCCUUUCACAUGGGUUCGGCUGUGUGGCUAUUACUUCCCCACUUAUUUUGGCUCUACAUGCCCUCUUUGCUUUUAAUUACCUACUUUAUCUCAUAAUCUUCUACAUUUUUAUUAUUAUUAUUACUUCUUUUAAACACUUAUUAUUAUUAUUCUAGUAAAAUAUUUUGAAGUUUAAAUAUAAUUUAAUAUUAUUUAUAAAAUAAUUUUAAAAUUAAUUCACUUAGAUUAUAUUUGAUUUUCAAAAAAUACUACAAAAAGAAAAAAAAUUAUGAAAAAUUAUUUUAUUAUGUUAAAUUGUAAUAUAAAAACUUUAAUUAAAAUUACAUAUUUAAAUAUUAUUUCAUCUUAUAAGAGAAAUAAAUUUGGAAUAAUAUAAAAAUAAUAAUUUAUUCACUUAAAAUAUUUUUUAUUUUUUAUUUUAUUUUUUCUUUUCCUUUUUUUUAUUUCCUUUUUUUUUCCCCACCACAUAUUACCUCAAAUUUUUGGAUAAUGGAACAUAGCCAAAGUUAAAAGAUGAGCAACAGGAGCUUAAAGAAAUAUUAGAAUCGAGGAACUGGCAUUGAACAUAUUGUGGGCUAGCUUUGGAUGAGAAAUGGGCCGGUUGGACGACAUAUGCUCAAAGCCCAAUUAGUCCUCCAGGCUUUGUCAUCUUGCUUGGCCCAUCUUAAAAGGAUAAGAGGGUCGGCCCAAUUCAGUCGUAAUUUGGGCCAAGAAGGAUUUUCGCAUGUGCGCUCCGAGUAACGAGAUUUAAAUGAAUACUCUUAUAUUAUGUUUGAUUCCAAUAAAAUAUUAAGCAGAAAAAGGUGUUAAAAAAAUGAUUUUUUUUUUAAUAUUCAAUUUCAUCAUGAAAAAUAUACAUAUAAAAAAUUAAAUGUAAUUAAAAUAAAUUAAAAUUUAUAUAUUUUAAAAUUAUUUAAUUUUUAUAUAAAAGAAAUAAAAUAAAUAAAAAUGAGUCUAUACUAGCCUAUAAAAAUAACUUAUUUAUUUUAAAUUUAGUUUUUAUUUUAUUUUUGUUUUUACUAUUUACAAUUUUAAAAAACCACACCUAGCCUUAAUAUUGAAAUAAUUAAAUCACAUAAGCAUCUUUAAUGGGGUUAUUUGAGAUCUCAUCGACCACUUUAUGGGCUAUAUAUAUUUAACUUGGAACUUGAUGGAUUCCAAUACCUCAGUGUGUUGGUGCUUCAACCGAAUAUGGACUCCCUCCACUUAAAUAAGAGUACACUAGUGCUCCUACAAAACAACUCCCACCAAUAGAUCAUUGGGAAAGCCUCCAACACUAAAGUUAGUUUCUCCUUUUUAUAAGUACUUUUUUUUUUUCAAUAUUUUCAAAUUUGGACGUUAACUAAAUUGGAAAACUUAUCACGGUUCAUUAAUCGAAUCAUCGAUCGAACUGAUGACAUUAUAAACAUAUAAUUUAUAUAUUAUUUAAAAAUUAAAAUUUUAUUUGAAAAUCAUGAAACUAGAUUCAAAUUAGAAAUUUUAAUUUUAAUUUAAAAUUAGAAAUCUUAAAAUUUAUUUUUAAAUCAAUACCCUAUUUUAAAAUAAAAAAUUUAUUUAAAACUAUAUUUAAAUUAAAAUGACAAGUUUUAAAAAUCAUAAAAUUAAAAAAUAAUAAAUAUAAAAUAAAAUAAAAUAAAUAAUAAUGGAGAUGAAUAUGGUAAAUAAAAAUAAAAAUAAGAAUCUGGAAAAGGAAGAGGGAAGAGGUGCCACUGAAAGAGAAAACGAUAAGGAGAGCAUCAUGACAACGACGCAUAAGGAUGGCAACAGGGCGGGUUCGAGAUGGGUCGCUCCCAUCCCAACCCCGCCCCGUUUAUUUGAAACAAUUCUCAUCCCCGUCCCAUUUAAAAAAUUAAACAGGGUGGGACGGGACAGGGCGGGGGUAUGAUAAAUUUAACUUUUUUUUUAAUUUUAAUUUUUUAAAAAGAAAAUUACUUUUAAAUUUUUUAAUUAUAUUAAAAUAAAUAUAUUUUAUAAAUAAUUAAAUUAUUAUAUUUUUUAUAACUUAUUUUAUUAAAAAUAUUUUUUAUUAUCUAUAUAUUUAAAAUAAUAAAAUAAAAAUUAAAUUAUUUUAAUUUUAAAUUUUAAAUUAAAUUUAAUUAAAAUUUUAAUUUUAUAUAUAAUCGGGACUAGGCGGGCGGGUGGGGCAAUAUCUGAACCUGCCUUGGGUUUUAAAAAAAAUUCUCAAACUCGUUCAUUAAAAUUAAACCCCCGUCUCAUUAGGGGUGGAGUGGGGCGGGGCGGGGCGGGGCGGGUACCCGAAAAGACUUAUCCCAUUGUCAUCCCUAAUGGCGCAGGGGGUAUUGGGCGGGGGGGAGGGGGGCAAAGAUUGUUGGUGCUUUAUGUGGUGGGAGGGAUUGGUUUGGUUAGGGAAGGGGGGGCUCGUCGACGUCGUUUUGAUGCUGUAAAAAGAAAAAAAAAAUGGUUAAAUCGGCUAGUUUUUAAAACCAUGAUUUUUUCAAUAGUUUGUUCAACAAUUUAGGAAGUGAGUUUCAUUGCAAGAUUACCUUUAUUAGGGUUGACAAAUAUGAUGAGGCUUAUCACUUACUAAUCGAAUAAAAAAUUUAUUAGAUUAGUAAAGGUCGUUUACACCUUUUUACCAUUUGGCAACUAACAUAUAUGGCAUGUUUAGUCACUUAAAAAGUGACAUCAACAUUCAACAACCUAUUUUUACUUUAGCAAAACCAAUAACUUUGAAUUAGGAUGUCCAAGUCGCUAAUACCAAACAAAAAAGGAAGAACCAUAUUUUCUUAUUGCAUUCAAAGCUAAUCAUUUUUAUGUCAUCUUGUGAUUCACCUUUGGUUUCGAUCCUCAACGAUAAAGCUAGAAGAGAUGAGCACUAGCUCCAAAGUUAGCAUAAGAAAAAGGGGGUCAUUGACAUGGAAGAUCCUCAGAUUGGUACGAAUAAUUGAACAUAUAUAUACCAACAACCAAUGGCAAGAUGAUUCAUUUUCUACAAAUUUGAAAAACAACUUUUCCACUAUUAUUGGGAGCAUUUUGGUGUCGUUGUUGUCCUAGACCAUUUGCUAGCUCUCGCUGUUGUUGUCCUCGAUUGUUGGGCCCAUUUGGAUUCCAUUGCCGAGUGCUUUGUCCUCUGCAAGAGUGGAUGAUAUCAUGAUAUGAGAAUUUAACCAGCCACGCCCACCAUCGCCACAUCUAUUUCACUCACCAUCACGUUAACUAAGGAAGGCUGAAGCAUACGCAAGGUACGUCUUCUCCUUCGCUCUUUGUGAAGCUAGAGUAUGCAUGUAUCCUUGAAGAGCCCAAACAAGUUGGCUAAAUGAAGGAGCUAGUGAUAUGGAAUCUUGAAAAAAAUGUGAACACAUCAUGGGAAAAGAGAUAUUUGAUGGGUGGUGCUUAAUCAACCAUUCUUAAGCCCGACAAAAACUACUUAAAAUAUUCGAUAAGACAUCAUUGGAAAAGAGAAGAUACGAGGAACUUAUUUACAUUUAUGUGAAUUUCAUACGACCACCAGUUUUUAUAGAUCUUUUUUCCUAUUAUAUUCUUUGUUAGCUAUAGUCAAAUGCAUGACAAAAAUGAUGGGGAUAAAGAACCAACUUGUUUAAUCCUUAACCACUAGCAAGGUUUUCAUAGGAGAUCAAUUAAAAGAAAACUCAAAUCAAAUUAAAAAGAUACAAAUCAAAUUCUAUCAAAUAGGCUUUUUUUUUUUUUUUUUUAUGAAAGGAGACUACGAAAUAUAAUACCUACAAAUACAAUUGAAAAAUGAGUCACAGUAAUUUUCAAAACUAAAUUUUCUAACAUUGUAAAGGGAAUUUGACCAUCAAAUGAUUGAAUCUAGAUUACAAAUAUCUUUUUUUGUUAAACAAUCUGUUGUUGUAUUUGUUUCCCUAUAAAUGUGAUGAUAAUCAUAGAUCCUAAAAUAACUUCUAAAUAUCUUUCAUUAAUAACAUAAUAGAACUAUGAAUAUUAUUCUUUUUAUUAUUACAAUCUAUAAUUAUUUUUGAGUUACCCUCAAUCUCUAGGUUUAAGAACUCAUUGUUUUUUAUAACUGAUAUGUCAUCUCUUAAGGUCAUAUAUUCUGCAAUAAUUAUUGAAGCAUUACUUAUAUGUCUAUUCACAACCAUUUGUAUGAUACCAUUAGUGUCUCUAAUAACUCAUCCUGAAGCACUUUUAUUCUCUAUCCUUGAACCAUCAAAUAGUUAUUUAUUACAAUUAUAUAUUAUGCACUUUAACACCCUCUUUUACUUACAACCCCACUUUAACAUCCUCCUUUGUAUGCAACCUCGUGCUCACAUGUGGUCCAAAUAUGCAAAUGAGGAAAACGAAUAUGCAAUGAAACUCAAAUAUAUGAUCUCCCAUCAAACGAAAUUAUGAUGUGAUAUUAAAUUACUAAUUUUCUUAAAAGUUUAAAUGAACAAUUUUAAAAGGAUUGGUAAUUCAACAUUAAGGUGGUGUUUGUUUUUUUACUUAAUUCUAAAUAGAACUUUAAUGUUUAAUAGUGUUAAAUAUUAGGCUGUUUGUUUUUGUAGUAUUUUAUUUCUAUUAAGUAUUAAAAAAUAAAAAAAAUCAAUAUGUUAUUUUUUCUAUUUAGAAAAAGUUAUUGUAGACCCCCAUUUAGGCAUGGAUCACUUUUUCUCUCUUUGUUUUUGCAGAUCACAUUUUUUAGCCAGGUGUCACUAUCCCAGCGGGCCACGUGUCACAUCCUUAGUGGCCAUAAGGAAUCAACCUCGCUUUUUUAAACUGCAAUAGGACUUUGACACGUGGAGGAACUUUCUGGAAGGGGGUCCCACAGGCCGUUAGGGGGCGCGGAUGAGAGAGAAGGAAAGGUGGCUGCAGAAGGAGUGGUGCAGGAAAGGUGGCUGCUGCAGAGAUCGUUGGAGGUGACAGCAUGGUAAAGGGACAGAGGAGGUGGUGAAAAGAGAGAGGAGAGAAGAAAAAAGGAGAGGAGUUUUUCUGAGGGUUCGGGAGGAAAGGAGUAUGGUGGGAACUUGAAGAGAAAGCUAAGAACAGAGGAGGUGGUGAAAAAAGGGAGGAGGGAAGAAAAAAAGCGGAGGAGUUUUUCUGAGGGUUCGGGAGGAAAUGAGUAUGGUGGGAACUUGAAGAGGAAGCUAAGAACAGAGGAGCGUGGAGUUGUUAGGGAGUCCAGGACACAGAGCUGAGAAGUGAGAUUUCCAGGUAUGACCAUUUGUUUUUUUUUUUGUAUAUUUUCUAUUUUUUUUCAGACUGUCCAGGUCUGAUUCUCAGUGAUUUUUCGUUUCUGCCUGUUGGGUUGUUCUAUUUUGGUGAUUACUGAUUAAAUAUUGGAAGAGUUUGUUGUGUUUUAUGUUCUAUUCUAACGAGUAUUUUUUUCCAUCUUAACUCACUGGAUGUUGGACCCAUGGAUGAAAUGAUGAAAUGGAUUCGAUAUGCUAGUUAAAGUCUUCAUGUUCUUCUUCUUGUUGCUAUCCUGUUAUCUCUUUGUUUUCUUUUCCUCUCUGAGUGCAUACUCAAGGCUCCAAGGUCUCAACUGCUUUCCGUGAUGAUGAGAACAGGCCUUUUCAGUUUUCUCCAGGCUUUCACAAUCAGCAAAUACCCUAGGUCGCAUACUACCAAACAUAUUCGUCGGCUAGACGUGGAGGCACAUCUGCUUGUGGCCUGCCCAUUGUUUUUAUGUCCAUGCACAUGUCUUCACUCUGCAUGACCCCUAUCUCUAUUCUCAUGCAAGCGUGUCGUCAUCUCAUCCCCAUGUUUUUUUUCUUAUCCACCAUACCCAUCGUUCAUCUAUCCACCUCUCUCUCUAGGUCGUCAUACUCAUUCCCUCACCCAAGCUUCCAUAUCCAUACAACCCAUACCCAUCCAGAAUUCUGUCCGCCGACAUCCCACCUUCUCCGGAUGUCUCACAUCCGGAAUUCUAUCCGUCGACAUCCCACCUUCUCUGGAUGUCUCACAUCCGGAAUUCUAUUCGGCCGACGCCCCACCUCCUCCGGAUGUCUCACAUCCGGAAUUCUGUCCGGCCGACGUCCCCAUUCUCCGGAUGUCUCACAUUCGGAAUUCUAUCCGGCCGACGUCCCCCUUCUCCGGAUGUCUCACAUCCGGAAUUCUGUCCGGCCGACGUCCCCCAUUCUCCGGAUGUCUCACAUCCGGAAUUCUGUCCGACCGACGUUCCGCUUUCUCUGGAUAUCUCACAUCCGACGCCUGACGCCGGAUGGGAGAGGAAGGCAAUUCAACUUCCCCAGACAGCUUGGCUCGUCAGCCACUCGCGAUUCGCCAGAUCCAUUUCCGCCCGCAAUCUUCUGCUCCUCUUGAUUUUAAUAGGCAUGAAUUUUUUUCAUAAUUCUGGAAUAAUGGAAUCUGUUAUAUUAAUUCAUGCAAAACAAAUGGGUUUUGGUGGGAACCCGACAUAUAUGACUUUAUAAUUGAUUGAUUGAUUGAUUUAGUUGCCAUGCAUGAUUGUCUCCAUUAUGCCCUAUGACAUGCUUGAAAUUAUUCUUUAAUUGUGCACUAACCUCACUUCUUGAUAGCGCAUUGUGGCUCGUCACCCAGGUACGUAUCUGUUCCCAUUUUGGUAUUUCUAUAUGCAUAUUUUGAUUUUCAUAUGUGCAUGAUAGUUCUGGGUAUUCACUGUUUUACUCGUCCAUUGUCAUGAUUGCUUCAUUUCAUUAGUAAAGACCUGACUUUAGGGACUUAGAAGGGUGCUACGGUCUUUACCAUACCUUCCCGAUAAGUAACCUGACCCUCGAACCCGAUUCGGUUUUUCGCAAACCGCCUUUUCCAAAAUAAGAAGUCACACUUAGGGUUUUUCUUUCUUAUUUUGUUUACUCUUUUAAAACUAAAACAAAAAUAAGUGGCGACUCCAAGUCAUUUUUCCUAAUCAAUAAAAUCAUUUUUCAAAUCAAAAUCGAGCUCGUCAUCGAGUGGAAAACGCAUUGAGCCGAAAUGCAGGGUCCACAGUUACAUAUUUUGGUUUUUUUUCUAUUUAGUAAAAAGUUUAUAAUAAUAAAAAAAAAAACAAACAACCUAAAUUCUGAAAACAAAUUGUUUUUAGCAAAAAGCCAAAAAAACAAACAUCACCUAAAUCUUUUUCAUUCAUGAAAGAAAAAGAAAUAAGUCUUGAGAAAAUCCAUUUUUCAUGUAAUGAUAAUAAUUUAUUAAAAUUAGGUAAAGCUCAAAUCUCUUCAAAACUUCAAGAUUGCAUUCAAUAUUUCAAAAUAUGAUUAAAAAUAGAAGUCAAUUAUAAUACCACAUAAAAAAAAAAAUCAAAAUCUUAACAAACAUGAGUUUUAAUUUUUAUGAGAAAUAAUUUUUUAUUUUUAUUAUUUAUUUUUACACCCGUUUAUAUUGAAGGUAGAAAGAUGUCGCAACAACACAAGCACUUCAAAAUUCAUGGAAAGACUCCACUUGGCUCCCUUCCAAAUGUAGUAUUGAAGCAACAAAUAUCAACCUCAAUUCUUAUCCAAUUCAAUCAUUGUUUAGAUUGAAAAUUUUCCAUUUAUUUUUUAUUUUAUUUUUUUUACCUGCUAAAAUUAAAACUCGAACAACAUUUUGAAACAAAAACAUGUAUGAUAAAAAUAAGAAAAAACAAAUAUUAUGUUAUGUUUUACAAGUGUUUUAAAAAAUAGUUUUGAAAAAUAAUUUUUAAGAAUAUAUUUAUUUUUAAACUGUUUUUUAAUGUUUAGUAAAAUAAAUGUUUGUUGAGUAACCUAAAAUAUUUUAACCUAUUUUUUAUAUUUUAAAUAUAAAUUUUAUAUUUAGUGUUUUAUUUUUAAUCAUUUUUUAUAUUUGUAUAAUCACUUUUUUAAAACAGUCCUUAAAAAAUAAUUGAAAAUAACCAAAAGAUAUUUGUCUGAAAACAUUUUGGGCAUAUUUGGUAACUAUUUACGAUAAUAGUUUUCUUUUCUUUAGAAUAAAAAAACAAGAAAACAAGUUUGAUUACCAAAAUUGUUUUAUAUUUUUUAUUAUUAAGAAUAAAAAAUAUGGUGUUUUUAAAAAAACAUCUUUUAAUUAUUUUUUAUUAUUUUUACUUGUCUUUUAGAGCUGUUUUAAAAUAUAAUUAUACACACUUGUAAAAUGAUUAAAAAUAAAGCACUAAACAUAAAAAUUAUUUUUUAAAAUAUUAAAAACAUUUUAAAUUACUAGAUAGACUUUUGUAUUACAAAACAUCUUAAAAUAAUUUUUGAAAAUAGUUACCAAACAAACACUUUGCUUUUCCAUUUUUUUUAUUACUAAAUACGUUUUUAAAUAAUUUUCGAAAUAGUUAUCAAAUAGACGGUGUGUUUUUCAUUUUUUUUUAUUACUAAAUGUGUUUUAAAUAAUUUUUGAAAAUAAUUAUCAAAAGACACUUUAUUUUUUAUUUAUUUUUAAUUAUUAAAUGUGUUUUUAUGUUUAUGUUCGAAAAAAAGGGAAAAAUUUUAAAAAUAGUUGUCAAACAAGGCUAAAGGUAAUAAAAGGAGUGUUAUCCAUGUGAUUGUUCAUAUAAGUUGUGGAAAGUGUAUGAUAAAUUAUUAAAUUUUAAAUCAUUCAGGCAUAAAAGAACAUGAGAGCAUGAAAUUUGAAUAGGCAUAUCCUAUUGAUCUCGUUUUUUAGUAGGCACUAAAUCCUAGUGCAGCGGAUCCAAAAAUGCUGGUAGGUGGAAUCCAUGAUCCAUAAAGCCUAAAAUUACUAGCAUGAUUGAUGACGUGUCAUCCCAUAAUUGGGCCCCUAGGAAUCUAAUACAGUUUAAAACUUUGAUCUUAGCGCCUAACGGCUACUUUAUUGACGUUACGUGACUUGCAUCAACUGACUUUCAGUUUAUCUUAUCGUCCAACUGGCCACCACGUGUUCCCAACUAAUUAACACCAUCUCCCCCUUUUAAAAAUGUUAAAUUAUUCAUAUUUAUUAAACAUCUACACUUCAAUUAAAUAAUUAAAAGUUUAAGCACAAUUUAAAUAGAAUUUAUUCUAACUUAAACUUAUUUAUUCAAAUUUAAUGAUUAUUUUAAUCCAACUUUGGUUCUUUAAGUCAAAAGUCAAGCAGUUUAUAAGUGUUAUUUUGGGCAUUAUUUUAUUUUUUAAUAUUUUUAAUAUUAAAAAAAAACACAUCAUUUCCAUUUUAUUAAUAUUCAAGUUCUUUUUAAAAAUAUUUAGGUUAUAUUUGAUAAAAACUAAGGGAAGGAAAAUAAAAAAAUAAAUUUAAAUUUAAUAAUUUAUUUUUUUAUGUUUUUUCAAAUUCAUUUCCCUUAUUUCACUUUAUUAUAACAAGAUUAACUAAUUUAAAAAUAUAUAAAUUUUAAAUUAAUUUUAAUUAUAUUUUAUUUUCUUUUAUAUUUUUUUUUAUAGUGAAACCAAGUAUCAAAAAAAUCAUUUUCUUCAAUAAUUUUUUUCUUUCCCUAAUAUUUUUCGGAACUAGACAUAACCUUAGUGAUACUAAAAAGAGAGAAAAGUGUUGGGCAAUCACGUGAUAAGAAAUAAAAUUUACACAAAUAAUCUAUCACAUUUUUUUUUUUGAGAAAAAAUAAAUUUUUGAGGAUUUGUUUUGAAAUUUGGAUAAUUUUAAAGCAUAUUUUUAUUAUUUUUAUUUAAUUUAUGGGAAUUUUUUAAAAAAUAAUUGUGAAGAUAUGCAAAUGAUUACAAUUUAAAUAUUAUGAAUAAAAAUUGUUUUUAAAAAAAUAUUCGAAAUUAGGAAAAAUUGAAUAAUGGUACAAAUAUAAAAAAAAUUUUGAUUAAAACAAAAGUAUUAUGAAUAAAAAAUUAUUUAAAAAAAUAUUGAAAUGCAGAAAAUUGAUUGUGGACAUUUUAAAAUUUUAAACAAAUUUUUCUGUAAUUGAUUUGUCCGAAAAUAUAUGGGACCACGGAUGUUUUGUGUAAUUACUUGUCGUAGUGCUUCUAUUUAUUUAGAUGUGAUCCAAGCAAGUUCAAGUGUUUGAUGAGACUAUCUACUAAAAAGAAUAUGAUUAUCUUGAUAAAAUAUUCCCUUCAUUCUUCCUCUUUUGUUUCAAGUGCUUGAAGAGCGUAUCUACCGAAACAAAUAUGACUACCUUGAAUAUUCCCUUCAUUCUUCCUCUAUAUUAUUUCAAGUGCUUGAAAAGCAUAUUUACUGAAACGAAUACGAUUACCUUGAUAAAAUUUUCCCUUCAUUCUUCCUCUAUGUUGUUUCAACUGCUUGAAGUGCAUACCGAAACGAAUACGAUUACUUUGAUCAAAUAUUCUCCUCAUUUUUCCUUACGGAAUCUGAUUCCUUUGGGGUUAUGGAUGGGUAUUUUUCAAAUUCCAUUUCUACUCUAAAAUCAAACAUGAGAGCUUCUUCUCAUCCAACUCCUUAUGAAUGAAAUGAUUUAAAAAAAAACAAAAACAAAUUUGUUCUAAAAACCAAGAAUUGUUUUUUAAAACUAAUCUCAAAAAUUAUUUUUUGAAAACGUUUCCAAACAUGCACUAAAAUAAAUGUAUUAUUAAAAUAUGUUUGGUUACCAAAAAUUUUGAGAAAAAAAUGUAAGGAAAAAAAAAUAGAGUGGAAAAAUAGAAGGAAAUAAAAAUAAAGAAAAAUGAAUAAUGAGUUUAAACUCCAUAAAUUAUUUUUACAUGUUUAUUCAAACUCGUUUUAUUUAUUUCCCUCUAUUAUAUAAAGAUUAAAUAAUUAAAAUAUAUAUAUAAAUUCUUGAUCAAAUUUAAUUAUACUUAAUUUUCUUUUAUAUUUUUAUGAUGAAAUCAAAUAUAAAAAAAAUAAUUUCUCAACAUUUUUUUCUUUUCUUAAUACUUCAACCAAACAUGGUCUUAAAAUAUAAGAAUAUUUCCCAAUUUACUAAUUUGAAAAUAUGAAGAUGAAAUCUAAAAAUGUUAAUAGUGGAAGUUUGUGGAUCAAAUUAAAAUAAAAGAAAGAAUGUUAAUGGAAAUGAAUGGGCAUCUUUCUCAUGCGGAAGAAGCCACUCAUUUGCUUAAAAGAGGCCUGCCCAAUGCGAGGCAAGCAACCACUGCCAGUUACGACAAGGGAUUUGUCUUUUCAUGAUUUUUACGUUGGAUUAAAACCCUUUUACGUGGAGUGAAACAUCAUUCUACCUUCCGUGGUUGGCAUCCACUCUCCAACAAUUCAAGCGAUAUCAUCAUUGUACAAGUAUAACCCACUAAAGUGAAAUCAUCAUGGUAAAAAUAUAAAUUAAGAAAAAAAAAACCAAAUUUAACAUCAUGUUUUUUACCUUUCAAAUUAAUAAUAAUAAUAAUAAUAAUAAUAACAAUAAUAAUAAUAAUAGUAAUAAUUUCAAUAUAAAAUAUAAAAACUCUUAACCACUUCCAUUAAAUAAUUAUUUUUAAGUAUCGAAAAAUUAUCAGAAAUCAACUAAUAUCACGUACAAUUUUCAAAUCAUAUUAUUUGUAUCUCAAUUUCAUUUUUUCAGUAUCUUCAUUCAACGACCUAAAUCUUAUUAUGCAUAUUAAAAAUCCAACUUUAAAAUUUGAUCGGUACCAUUAAACACUAAACUUCAAUUCAAACUACUUUACGUAGUUUCACUUGCAUAUUUUUGUAAUAAUAAAUUUCAUGUAAAAAAUUAUUUUUGUUUAAUAUCCUUAAAAAUUACUUUAAUUACAAGAUAAAGGAUGUUUAAUGGACACCCAAAAGUCCCAAGAAAUAAGAAUGAAAAUUUUAUUUAAUUUUUUUUUACCGUUGGUGAUUCAUUUAAAGUGAAAUUAAAAUAAAAAUUUACAUUUUUUUUUGGAAAAUCAAAAUACAAUGAUACUAUGAUACAAUUUUCAUGGGAAUAAUUUUUUUAUUUAUAUCUUUAUUUUUAAUAAGCGAUUCAAAUACAAUAUUCCUUUUUUCUAUGUUCUAAAUAUAUAUUUGAUGCUAAUAAUAUUUUUUUUUUUAAUCUAAUAAAAAAAGGAGAAUGAUUUGCAGGCAUGAAGUGCACAUAUCAUAUUGUCUAAGAAGAGGAGAAUAUGCAUGGCUCAUGAUGACUGUUACGCAUGUAGUUAUUAUUAUUAUUACUAUUAUUAUAUUUUUAUAAUAAUUGCUUAAAAAAAUUCUAAAUAUAAUUAAUAAAAAAAAUUAAAGCUAUGAAUCGAAAUUGAAAAUUUUAUUUAACAUGAAAGGUAGGAUCUGUGGCGGAAGCAGAAAGCAAACGGCGGGAAAAAAGAAAGAAGAAAAAGAAAGCUCCAAAGCAAUCUCCGUUGGACUCAAUUCAAGGAAAAAUAAAAAUAAAAAUAAAAGAAAGACAAAAAGCAAAAGCAAAGAGAGAGAGCGCUACAUCAAAUCUCUGUUUCUCCUGUGAGUUGCUCGAACAAGCCGUGUCCGUACAGAUCUCGGACUGGUUCUUUAUCAGGUAUUUGCAUUUAUUUUGACCUUUUUUUUUUGUUGGUAUUGAAUGCGAGAAUCUUUGUGUUCUGUGUUCUGUUUCUUGAUAGUGAUUUGUGUGAAGAGAUUGCUGUAUUUGUUGAUUGCUUUGAUGUUGUUGGCGAGGUGGAUGAUUGGUUUGUAUGGUGAAGGUUGGGCCGGAAUGAAUGUGUAUUUUGUUUGUUAGUUUACAGUCUUGUUCAUGAAUUGAGUUUUGGUUGUAGAUUAUUAGAAGCCUGUGAAUGUCUGAUUUCUGUCUUUCUUCGUUUGGCUGAUGGGAAAAUGGAAGAAAAUGAUGGAGAUUGGCCUUGGAUUUUUGAGUUUCGAAUUUUUUCAGUAUUUGGAAUCCAACAAAGGAAAGCCUAAUAAAACUACGUUUGAUUUUGAGUAGUUCUGUUUUCUUCUAUUAUACCACAGUUUUAUUAUUUUGUUUCGUUUAUUUGCCUCUAUUUUUCCCGGAAAACAAACAGGGUAAAAUAUGUAGCUUCUCUUCUUCUAUGCAAAAUCAAUAAUUGGAUUGCUGUACUGUAUUGAUCUAACACCAGUGGAAAAAUUGGUUGGAGUUGUGUGCACCUCAAGGAAGGAAGUUAACCCGUAUACAGAGCCAACACGCUUAAGAGUAGUACAAGCGUUAUGGAACCUUUUUCGCAUUAAAGCGAAUUUUGGAACUUUUGAAUGCCUUGAUCAAAUUCAAAUCUCUGUUUAUGCGUAUGUGCAUGUGUGUGCAAAUAAAGGAGUCACCCAUCAAAAGAUUGCACCAAAAACUUGAUAAGCACUAAACAAUCCAAAUAGCAAUGGCGUGCGUGAGUGCUUGCUCUGGACAAUCAUGCCUCAACGGUUCAGAUAAAUCCAUGAAAGUAGGAGAAUAUGCCCAUCUGUAUCAGACAAUGCCUUGUCGUGCAUUGCACGUAUGUACUCUCCCACGAGAUUCUCUGAUAACUGAAGAUGGCUCUUUUGGGGAAUGGUUUCUUUCUGAAAGCUUUUUAGGUCCAACAACUCUACGGGACUUGUUAGUGCUACUAUCACUGUUAUUUGUAGGAAUGAAAGACCUCAUCAUGACCCUAGAAACCCAGCUUGUAGAAUUUGCCUGGUGUAUCAAGGAAGCAAACCGAAUACCAUUUCUUAACAAAAAUAGAUCUUUUAAAGGAAAUUUUAGAUUGAAUACAGGGAGAGCCAUGAUCGAAAGACUUGGCUCUCAACAAGAGUUGAGCUUAAAAAAUUGGGAUUAUUGAGAUUUUGUUGUGUAGGCCUUAGAAAACAGGAUUUAGUCAAGUCCAACCCUGAAGCCAUGCAUUAAGCUUACUUAUUCAUUUUUCAUUUUAUUUUCCCCAUUUCCACAGUGUGGGUUCCAUGACAGGUACUGCCACUGAGGAAAGAUAUUUGUGAUAUGACCUUAUGAUUCGUCAAAAACAUGUCACCAUAUAUAUGUCUUUGUUUUUUAGUUCUGUGCUGCAGAGGUGGGAUCUGGUAACACUUCCUCAUUGAUGUUUGGUAUGGUUUUUCCUAAGUUCCAAAGUUUGCAGUACAUAGAACUCCCAUGCUAAUGAUCAUUUUUGUCAGCAAUGCAGAUAAAGAGAAUCUGGUGAAAUAGAACCUGUCUUCGCCUCACACCAUUUAUGCUCUCUGUGAUGAGGAGUGUUGCCAACAUUCAGGUAUAAAUGGAGAGUGGUGCAAGCAGUGGCAAUGGGCGACAUCCUGAAGGCAUGAAGGAAUCCUGGUUUAGCCAAUUCCGGAACAGUCCAAACCCUUGGAUGGCUAGAUAUGUAUAUGGUUUGAUGUUCCUCAUUACUAAUCUACUAGCAUGGGCCGUUCGGGAUUAUGGCCGUGGUGCCCUGACAGAGAUGGAGAGUAAGAUUUAUCUGAUUCUUUAAUGUCUUGCAGUUUAUAACUUAGUCUGGUGUUUUUAACAACUUCAAAUAAAGGCAUGAAUGCUAAUAGACUCUAAUUUUUAUAGAAAUUUUUUAAAGGUAUAUAAACCAUGUUUUUGUUUCAUGAUUACAAGCCUUGACUUGCCUCCAAGAGGAAGUGAGCUCUUCAUUUGUCAACCAAUUUUUUCAUUCUUCAGGGCACGCCCUGUCUUCCAUGAAAAGUUAACCUUUUUGUUUUGCGUUGCUCCAUAAUAGGUGUUAUUUAUGCUUGAUAUGAAAUAUCCCUGUAGUGUUUAAGCUUUAUCGAGUCAUAUAUGGAUUUUUAUAGGAAUAAAGAAAAGUAAAAACGUGCUUAAUACAUGUGUGAGGCUGAUGGGUCCUUCUGAAAUUCCAUUUGCAAGAGUUUUCAACUUCUGUUACCAUCUGACAUAAUCAUUGCUCUUGUUAUAGAUAGAAUUUAGAAAAACUUGUGUUUGUAGCAAAAUGUGAUGGCGUUUGGACAAGCUGUUAAAUGGCCCCAGACUAAACUCCUUUUCAUCUGCUUUCUGUUUACAUAAAAUAGACAUCUAAAAUGGGUUAUCAGUGAUCAUUUUCCUGGCCUUUAAAAGAUACACCCAGUGGGUUUAGAUUUGGAUUGAACCAGAUGAUUACAUUGUUUUGACAGUCAACCAACCCGGUUUUCAGACUCAUAAAUAACCUGUUUCCAGAUUAUUUUUUUCAAUUAUACCAUUAAAAUAUAGAUGUCAAUCUUACAAUUAAUAUAAGCUGCUAAUACAUUUUUAGCAUGAAUGCAGGACUACAAGGGUGCAAGGGUGUGCGAGAUUGUUUGGGAGCAGAAGGAGUUCUGCGCGUUAGCCUGGGAUGUUUUGUAUCCUUUCAACAAUAAGAUCUACAUGACUACUUGUCUGACAGUUUUGAGGUUUUACAAUUAAAUGGCACAGGCAAUGAGCAGAAUCCCAGAUCAAAGAUCUUCUCUAUAUUUUUUUUCAGAGUAACUUGACUGAAGCACAUUUUCUCUGUAGAAGCAAGAAAUCGGAAAUUCUGCGAAUUGCUCCUAUCCAGAGCAGAUGGAAGCAAUUUGCACACGAAGGAUCUGGGGAUCCUCAAAACCCAGAUAUCAGCAAACCAGAAUUCCAAAUGAAAAGUGUCAGAAUUAAUGUAUUAUCUGAUAAUUGUUCUCAUCUUGCUUGGUAAAAGUGCGUAAAUCACACCUAAUUUUAAAGAGAAGAGUUUGAAACCCCUAUUUCUAGAAAGAAUAAAUUCAAACCGUCUUAUCACUGAUUUUGCUGGAAUGUUAGUCCAAGUUUGCAAUCUAGAACCGAAGUCAUAGGACAUCCCUUGAUCUAUACUGACUGUUUAUUUAAAAGGACUCAAUAAUUAAUGAAUACAUUUGCUCAAAGUAGCUUCAUCUUCCAUUUUAUUUGAUCAGAAUGUGAGCCUUAAUACUAUAUCAGACUUUCUAUUUCAUAAUGUUUCUUUCAACAGCUGGUACAUCCAAGUUGCACAAGCCUAGAGAAUUGUGGCAUUCUGGUUGGUGGUCUGCAAAGAUUAUCUUGUGGGUUGCCUUAAUGAUGCUCCCCUUCUUGGUUCCUUCUGCUUUUAUUCAGCUCUAUGGUUAGUUGACUGCAGUCCUUGAACAAGAUUGCAAUUGUUGUUUUUCUCUUAUCAUUUCAUGUACAUGAUCUUAAACUCGUGUUGGCUUUACAUUUAUUACUUUCAUGCCUCUGAUGCAAUAAUUUUUGGCAGGGGAGAUUGCACAUUUCGGUGCCGGGUAUCAUUACUUCCUGUUAUAAAUUCCUGUCACAGACCAUGUACAAUCUUUUUAGACGUGGUUGUCGUAGAAGUGAAAAUUAUAAGCUUACCUUUCAAGUUCAGUUACAGAAAUUGCUGGGGCUGUGUUUGUGAUAUCUUUCUUUGAAAAUUUAUUACAGGGUCUUUCUCUUAAUUCAGCUAAUAAGCAUAAUCAGCUUCAUUAAAUGGCUGAAUGAUUGUUGUCACUCUGGCAAAUAUGCAGACAGAUGGUAAAAUCCUCCUUAUUCCAACAGAUGCUAAUUCAAAUCAUCUUUUUGUUCUAUUAAAGCCAUAUUGAUUUCAUUAAGACAUUAUAUAUCAAGAUAGUCCCCUUCUUAACAUGAAAUUUCCAAUGUUAAAGGGGGCUCGGAAAAGCUUUCAACAUGGAUAACUUACAAUAAGAUUUACCUUGCAGCCGUAUCCAUGUAAUGUUACUUGCAACUACUGCAUAUGUCAUAUGCAUAAUGGGGAUCAUCUUGAUGUACAUUUGGUACGUACCAGAGCCGUCUUGCCUCCUUAACAUUUUCUUCAUCACCUGGACACUAGUGCUCCUCCAGCUCAUGACUAGUGUCUCUCUCCACCCAAAGGUAAGUUGUAAUUUUCACCAUCCUUUUCACUCUGACAUGGCGACAUAAAUUUGUUAUAGAAUUGUUCUUUUUUCCUGAAACAGGUAGAUGAAAGUUUCUUGACUCCAGGGCUUAUGGGCCUGUAUGUUGUGUUCCUCUGCUGGUGUGCUAUUAGAAGGUAUGAUUUCUAAUUUCUAUUAUUGUAAUCAAAUUUACUGCUUGAUGUUUUUAAAACUGAAUUUCUUACCAAUAUCAGCUUUCCAAUAUAACAUGGUUGGAAAAUAAAAUCUUUCUUUAGUUGCACAUAAACCUUUUGCUCGACUUCUCCAAAUGAUACUAAUAUAAAAAAAUAAAUAGGCAAAAAAGGGAAAAAAGAAAAGAAAAGAUAUGCUGGUGCUAUCAUAUUUGUACUUAUAUCAUAUCUUCUUAGGGACGAAAGCUUAGAUUUAUAUAAUACUUUGCUUCCUUGUACCAACCCAAGAGAGAUCCGCACCAAAUUCAUGUAGUCUAUGUGUUGUCUCAGAAUCUAAAUCCAUGCAUCCACUUGCUCAAAAGAAGCCCAUUCAUUGUAGCUGAAUAGUUACGGUUCCUCUAAAUCAACAAUUAGGUAUCACACAAGCCUGAACAGAACAAUAAAUUUGAGAAACUAAUAGGUCUAAACAAAUAGAACUUGCUUUUGUGAUUACUUUUAUCAGGGCUUCUAGCUGCCUCAACUUUUUCUUUAACUAGUGUCCAUUAUACAUCUUUGUGCUGACAGUGAACCACCAGAGGACAGAUGCAACCAGAAGGUGGAAUCAGCGACCAAAGCAGAUUGGCUUACCAUCAUAGUAAGAUUUGAGAUCUCAGAAAUGAAUUAAGAAUUUUAAAGUACUAAUUAAAUUUCCAAACAAACAUGAAGUCAUCAAAGUCAUGACAGUAUUGUGUGUAAUAAUGCCUCAACCUUCAUUGCAGCCUAGAAGGCUAGAACAUAUUCUUUCCCAAUUUAAUCUAUGGCCAUGCUAAUAUUGUUGACAGGCACUCACAUUGUCUCUAAGUAUCCCUUAUUUCUAAAUGGAAACCAUCUCAAAGUUAUCAUCCUUCAACAUGUUAUUGUACAACAUUAUGCUCAUAGCUUAUCCCAUUGCUAGUAUGUAGGAACUGAUACCUCAUCAUGAAUCCAAACACAACUUUUUUAAUCAUGGCUGCAGCAGGAAAGAUGUCAAAGCUUUUAUUGCACAAUUUCCAUUUUUUUGCCUUGCAUAACUAUAGAUCUCAUUUGGUGACAGAGCUUUAUUGUUGCGCUGCUUGCCAUGGUCAUUGCAACAUUUUCAACAGGCAUUGAUUCCAAAUGCUUUCAGGUAUAUUACACUCAACUACUUUUAUUUGGGUAUCACACUUUUUACCAAACUGUCUUCUGAAAACAACUGUUUCAGUUCAGGAAGGAUGACACACAAGCCGAAGAUGAUGUUCCCUAUGGUUAUGGCUUCUUCCACUUUGUUUUUGCCACCGGAGCCAUGUAUUUUUCAAUGCUAUUGAUUGGUUGGAAUACUCAUCAUUCCAUAAGAAAGUAAGUCUCCAUAUCUCUCAAAAUACUUCCAUUUGUUUUGUACUUUUUAUAGGACACUUGAAAUUAAGAUCUGCCAAAAUGGAUAGUUAAAGCAACCCCUCCAAAAGAAUGUAACUAAAGAUUUUCUCAACCUUUUCCUUGAGGAAUUUGCACUACCAAUUUUCAACUGAUUGGAUUGGGGUCAAGGUUUCCUGGAGUUGGUUUUUGAGUUGAACUUCUCAUGAGCAUAAUCAUUGAUGCCUUCAUAUCCAAAACUUUUUUCUUUAUUGAAUUAUCAGUCCUUGCAACCAACUAUACAGCACACUAGACACUGAUGUAUAACGACAGGUUUAAUCAUGCUGAAUAGAUAGAAAUGUCAGUCUUAGGUGAAAUAAAACUGUAAUAGAACUCAGUUUCACUUAGCAAAUUCCCUUGUCUGCUUGUUUCUCAACAGAAAUUCAAUUAUGGUUAAGUUCCUAAAGGAUGGCCUUUGCUCCAAGCACCUCUGCUCAGCUGACCACCAAUGGAGUGGCCUUCUGAUUAUGCUCUAUGUGAUUAUCUUUGAGUUCCAGAGCAGGACCAGCCUAUUUAUGUUGAAAACCAGGACUAAUGUUUCUUCUCUUAUAGACUUUAAAGUGAUUUCAAGGAGGGCAUAUACCAAUCUUAUCACAUAAUUCAUCUAGAAAUAGAAUUCUUUUAUGACUAAAGUGUGCUAUCGGCCAAUAAAUCUUAACAAUCACCAUUAUGACAUCAAGUAUGUUUUUUUCUGAGAAGCAGUAAAAAAAAAUAAUUCUACCACCCUUUUGUAAGAAAAUAAUUUAACUUCUUUGCAGGUGGACAAUUGAUGUUGGCUGGACGAGUACUUGGGUUAGAAUAGUGAACGAAUGGCUGGCAGCCUGUGUAUACCGUAAGUAUCUCAGGAAUAGGAUUGUAUUAUGGUCAUUUUGAUUACUUGAUAUCUCUUAGUUAUGUAACAAUUAAACCAGCUAACAAUAUGACCUUGCAGUAUGGAUGCUUGUGGCUCCGAUCAUAUGGAAAAGCAGACAAACAGGCGAAUCUACAUGACCAUUUCAAAAUAUCUUUAGUACCCAAUUCAUUCGAUAGUUCUUGUGGCAGUCCUCUUCCUCGAGCAGAUGGUGGAAGAAGAGGCCGCGUCUGCACACGCACAAGAAUUUUAGCAGCAGCAACUAGACCUUUGGUGACCUGAUUCAUUUCAUUUCUAAAUGAAACAAAAUAUAUAGUCCUCCAAGCCCAGCAUCAGUUAAACAAAAGAAAGAAAGAAAGUAUAUCCAGUUCUCUAAAUUUUCCAUUAAUUGCAGCAUACCAUCUGUAGAUAUAUUUACGAGCAUGGCAGGGCGAAGAUUUUGUGAUUUCAUAACCAUCAAUGGAAUAACAGUUUCUGGGUUGAACUAAUAUUCAAUUGUGCACUCUACCUGGUACGGCCAUUGAUGUUUCUUCAAGGUCCACUGCUUAGAUUUAAACGUUUGAUUCAUAAUUCAAAUGUGUGAUUUUGCCUCUUAUACUUUUCAGCUCGACAUGUGGUUGCCUAAACAAUGCGUGUUUUUUAUUAUCUUCCAAUACCUCUCCUCUUGUUUUUGGAACUUUAGCUUUGCCUGAGGCAAAAGGUUAUAAGAAGUGGCAUCUCUUUUGGCUUGCAGAAGAAAAAGCGUAGCUCACAAAAUAUGAGAACUGGAAGUAUCUUUUUCAGAAGAGAGAAAAUGUUUUUAUGGAGAUUAAUUUUCAGAUUUUUUUUUUUUUAAACUUCAAAAUUUACUUUUUCUGCACGUUCUAAAAACAGACAUGACUCAGAACGCAGCUGACAGGAAAAUUAAUCAGAAAAAUUAUUAAUCUUUUUUACUAAAUCUGUAAAGAUAAAAUUUUUAAAAAUUAUGGAUAAACAAAAAAAAAAUACUAAUAAUAAUAAGAGGGAGAAAAAUAAAAGAGCAUCACAGAUUCCGGGACACACCUGUUUGCAGUGAAACACCUAAUUCCCCUCCGUUCAGCUGCUGCGGAGAUCAGGAAAGUAAAAGUUUUGUUUUAUAAAGGUAAAUUGCCCCGACAGCUAAGGUAUUGUUUGGUUUUCUAACCUUUUUACUAAAAGUUAUUUGUUUUCAUAUCAUUUGUAUUUUUGCUUUUGGUUUAUUUCAUUAUUUAUUUUUAAAAUUUUUUUAUUGAAUAGAAAAAAUUAAAAUAUUUAAUCUUUUUCUAUUAGAGUAAACAUAAUUAUUUUUUCUUACUUUUUAAUGCUUAAUAAAAAUAAAAUAUUUAAAAGACAAAUAAUUUGAAGCUUAAAUAUCAUUUAGUAUUAUUUUAUUUUAAUUUCUAUUUAGAAUUAAAUAAAAAAUUUAAAAAAACACGACCAAGAAAUGAAAAAUUAGAUUCAAGAUUUUGAUAUUCCAUAUUUUUUCUCGCCUAUAUUCUUUUUGCUUCACCGUGGAAAGAAAGACAAAAAUGUUAAAAAAAGCAUUUGUUUUGUCACUAAAAAGAUGGAAUAAAAUAGACUACAAUUAAAAUUAGUUAAGAUUUUUAAUCUUUAAUUUUUUUAAAAAAUAAUAAUUUAUAAACUUUAAACUUUUUUUCCCUCUAUUUUGUCACUCAAAUAGAAAGGAUGACCCAUUCGAACUACUUCUUCGUACUUAUAAAUUGCGUGCAAGUGUCAAGCGUGGCCUCAAACUACAAGUACAAGCUGCAGAUGUGGGGAAAUGGUUAGGAAAAACCUGUAAAAAAAAAAACCAAAUGACUAAUGCUUGGAAUUUUUCCCUUAUCCCUCGUAAUAUUUUGUCCAAUCUCAACACAAAUAGCUGGGAAUUACCCAAGUUCCGUCAACCGAUUAAGCAACAAAAUCUUCAUUGUUGUUGUUCUUCCUACAUGUAUGAAUCCCAGGUUUAUUACCAAAAUGACCUCUGCAGUAAUGUUUGGUGGGUGAGUAUGUUAGUCACUUCUGUUUUCGGCAACACAUAAACCUAUCAGAACAUGGAAAAAAGCUUGAAAACAUGGCAUAAAGGCUAAAAUCCAAAUACUAUCUUAUUCAAAACAAAAAUCAUAUCAACAUCAAUAUGAAUAGCAUGUAAAGUAUGCUCUACCAAAAGGUAUGCUUCGAAAAAAUUUUAAAAAAGAAAAAAAUAAUUGUGCAGACUCGAAACAAGAACUCGCCAUAACAAUGGAGAGACAUCCCCCUAUGGCAGCAGGCAAAGCACAGAUCACCACAUAGGAAUACCCAUUCCCAAACCUAUGAAAGACAAUGGCUGCCUAAAUAAGACUUGAUUCCCUCAGAGGUGUCCAUCCCUCUUUCAAAUCCCCUCUAUUUUGGCCUACCUUUCUUACAGGAUAAAACUGGUUUUACACGAGAAUAGACAUUUGACUAUUACAGGUUACAGGUAUGGACACACAACUUCAUUUGGCUGCAACAUCUUACUAAAUCUACAAGAACAAUGAACCCAAAAAUUUCCAUCCAACAGAUUACUUAACAGAGAGCAUCAAGAUGAUGCUCACCCUAAAAUGGGGUCCAAAAGGCUUCGGUCUUCAUAUUUAUCCAAAUGGAUUUCCUCCAACAGAAGAAAGCUUAUCUAAGGCAGCAGGUGCAGAGGAUCUUCCACCAAUUAGAUGAUUUGGAUUCAAAGAGCUAAAAGCAGCAUCCUCACUGCCAAAGCUUCCCACUCCUUGAUGACUGCAAAGGAGAUUCAAAAGGCUCAAUAAGUUCCACACAAAGGUAAUACUAAUGCAAAUAUAGAUUAGGCAAACUGAUGCCCAUAAAACUUCGAAAUAAAUAUAAGUUGCUAAUAGAUGAAAUUUAUAAUUCAGUAAUGCAGAACCUUACUAAAAAUGUGGGUAAAAGAAAUCAAAAUUGUAAAAAUGAAAAUGCAGUUACCUGGAAGGUGGAAUGGCACCAGGUACUUGUUGCCCCAUGUAUGCUCCUGACAUUUUUGAAGCAAAAGGCAGAACAUAUAAAUAUCAAAUAAAGCAAGCGAGGGGAAAAAGGUAGGCAAGAAAAAAAUCAUGAUAUGGUUUUACUUGGAGGCAUUCCCGACGCAUAAGGCGGUACUUGUGGAGGCAUUCCCGACACAUAAGGUGGUGCUUGUGGAGGCAUUGCCAAUGGAUAUAAUGAUGACUGGGGUGGUGUCCAUGUUGAUUGAGUACCAGCACUGGAAGAAUGCAGCAAGCCCAUAGAAGGGGGCAUAUUUGGUAGACUCCCUUGCAAGGACGCCAUGGAAGGAAACUAUAUCACCAGGAACAUGUAAAAAGCAUUAGAACAAGAUUUCAUGAUCAACAGCUGAAUUGCUCAAGAACAUGUUUAGCUUAAAGAUCAAAUAUGAGCAAAAAUUUGAUGCUUCAAGAUUUAGAUAACUCAUGCAUCAAGGGCGUUAGUACUCAACAAACGGAACAAAAUAAAAAGUUUUAUUUUUUUAAAAGCACCAAAAUAAGUUACUAUGAGCACCCUUUAGUUUUUAGCAAUACUCAAGUGGGGCAAUCACAAGGCAAAUUCGACAUUUCAUUUUCUGUCAGUGAAAUGCAUGGAUUGAACAUGCAUAAAGGGCAUUGUUAAUUUACUUCUCUUUAACACUAGUUAUAACUGAUCACUUAGUCAAAGUAACACCAAGGAAGACAAGAUCAGAGAUCAAGCACAUAUAUCUAUUUGAAUGAAUUUGAUUCACUUACUGUUGGAGCUUGAGCCGGAGGUGGUUCAUUGUUGAGAUCAAAUGGGUUUGUUGAUUUUGAUGAAUGUGAGAAUGUUGAUGGCAAUGGCUGCAACAACAAACCCCUAUUAUACAGAGCAACUUUUCAUGCAGUAAUCCAAGUAAUUGGUGUGAAUCAAAAUUAAUUCAGUAACAAAAUCAUAUUGGAUUGUGAAAGAUACCGCUGCAGUAUUAUAUUGCAGGUGGAACCCCAUGCCAUGGGGUGGACCAGUUUGCCAACCUGGAACUUGCAUAGAGAUGGGUUGAUAGGUUGCAGCGAAAAGAUCCUGCAGAUGAUUCAUGAUUUACUAUGAGAUACAAAACAGAGAUAACACCAGAAUACAUCCUAGCUGGAGACCAAGAAAGAAUACAUUACCAAUGGCAAUUCUUUUCUUCCAGCUGGUUUUACUUCCACAGGGAGAGGUGGUGAUGAAAGACUAGAAGCAACCACCUGAGGUUUUGAGACAGUUUGAGGUGCUUGUGCUGCAGGAGCACUAAAAGGCCCUUGUGUAUUUGGCAAAAGUGGUGAAUUCCACUGCUGUGAAUAUGAAGCAACAGAAUGGAUUAGUACUAUAUGCAUUGCAGAAUACUGCAACAAGACACUAAACCAUGAGGCCCACCUGAUUGGUUGAAGUUCCACCAACUGAUGGAGCAAAUUGUUGAGCGAUAGACUGACUUCCAGUAUCAGGGAAUAAAGAAUGUUGUUGAUACUGCAUGCUUGGCCAUUGUCCUGCACCAGUAACUUUGACAAAGGAAUUACCAUCAUGCCCAUGUAACAUUGGUGUCAAUCCAGGAGCAGCUGCAGCGGCAGCAGCUGGAGGAAAUGCAGCAAAAGUAUUGACUGGUGCAGGAGCACCACCAAGAAACGGUGACGUAGGGAUGGGCCGUACUGGUGGAAAUAGGGAAUCACCACUCAUUGGCAACACUGACACAUUGCCCACUGGUACAGCUGUUGGAGCACCACCACUAUUGGGUACUCCUGAUCCGUGCCCAGGAACAGAUGCUGGAACUGACAAUUGUGAAAGUACUGUUUCCAGGGCAUUCACAUUUGAAGGAGCUUGGGAUACUUUUGCUUCUGUGGCAAAAUCAAAAGAGGCCCAGUUAUCAUUGGAUGAACUUAUCGGUUGUGCGAUGGUUUGAACUGGUGGUUGUUGUGUUUGUGGCACUGUUGCAGCAACAGGAGGUUCAGGAUCAGCAUCAAAAUCAAUUAAGAUUCCUGAAUUCUCCCUUUUUAGUUCCCCUGGAUUUCCAUUAGAGGAUCCCAAGCUACUGGAUGAAGCGGUUCUCUGCAAUUGGAGAUGUUCAUGUGAUAAGUUCAUGGAUUCUAAAUUAACAGAGCCUAAGCUGCAAAAUUUUCAGCACAUGGAGUUGAAACAAGUGCAAUCACAGAAUAGCUAGCAUUUGAAGUCAAACAGGAUGAGGAGACAAACAAUCUGCAAUUUUCACAUCUUCACCUGUUUACUCCAUCAGAGGAUUACAAGCUUGAGCAAGCUUACUUCAAACACAAUACCAAAGCAUUAUUGAAGGUAAAAUAAGUGAUGAGUGGAAUGCAAACUUAUCCUGCUUUCAAUCAGCAGUAAAAGUCAAUCAUCAUGAUGUGUGUUGAUUGAAGCCACCUAUUAUGGUAUGGGUAUGUAUGCUUGGUUAGAUAAACAGCAUCUUUAGAGUUGAGUUUAUCCAGUCAAAGUUAGUUACUAUAAAAAGAUUAAAGAUCAUGCUCACCUAACAGAACUAUAAAGCUAUGGUCUUGACCUAAAAAAGUUUCAAAGAUGGAAACUAAAUGGCACAAAGAGAACUCAAUUAACUGAGCAGGUCUGCAGGUUUUUGUUAGAUUACCAAGUCUGUACUUACACUGUUUGGAAGAAUCCCAUUACAAGGCUUUCCCAAACAGUUUAAGGGAAAUACAUCACAUGUUAACCUAAUAAAUAAUAUAUGAAAUACCUGGUUUUAACUUCAAAUUAUCACAGAUAGGUAAUAGCAAUCAAUGCAAAGUCAAUGUGCAGCUCGGUUGUAUGGAUAGUUGUUAAUUACACACUGAAUCAUCUUCAACAGAACAACUAACUUCUAGGAGAGUAUAUCACCAGGCAAUUACAAUCAAACAGUACAAAACAACUAACAUAACUAGAAUUUCAGUUGUCAAGCACGAUAGGUUUAAUUGAACAGAAGCCUCACCUGCGUACGUGCAAAACCAUCACCGACCCUGCCACCAUUGGCCUUUGGAGGUUCAAUAACCCGUAAGGGUGAUACAUUAUCCCCUAAAAUCUCUCUAACAGGGCGUACCAUUGGAGGACUGGAUGCAUCCAGAUCCUUCUGAUGGUCAGGUGACCUGCCUUCCCGAUUAGUUUCUCUAUCAGAUUUCCUUCCAUUCCCAAAUCUAUCCUCACGACGCCAAUCAUUAACUAUCUCAGGACGAACAGGACUUCUCCUAUAAUCACCGUGCUGCCUAUUUUCUAAAUCACUUCCUGGACUUCUUCUUCCAUCAUAGCCAUAUCUAAAAUUUUUGUCAUCACUUCUUCCACCAGGACUACGCUGAUCACUGUAACGACGAUCAUAUGAAUCUUCAUAUGGUGGGCUUCGUGAUCCACCCUGAUAGUUGUCCAUCUUUCUGUUUUCAUAAGGUUCCUCCUUGUCACCCUGUAUGAUAUGCAAAUGCACCUUUAAACAAAUAAAAACCACUAUAGUUGGCAGAUUCAAAAAGCUUUAAGAAAAUUCUAUCACUGUACUAUGAUACCACAAAGAAUUGUUAAAAGAGCAAAACAUGUUAAAUGCAUUUUCAGUAAUAUACUUUUUCCAUAGACAAGGUGCAUUUUCUCUAAAAUUCUUCAAAUCAAAAUCUCAAGGAAAGAGAAAAUGUUCACUGUUUCUCUUUGGGAAGUGGUUGCUGGAUCUUACCAUCUUCACCCUUGGUGGUUUGUCAAAGCUUCUCUCACCACUAUAUCUUCUAUCCACAUAAACAUGCUUGAUGAAGUCCCGAAGUCUCUCAAUAUUACUGGAUACCAACAUGUGAAUCAGAGCUGCAUUCAUAUGGAGAUAAAGAACAAAACAAAACAUGAUUGAGUCUUAACCUGCUAUCAGGGAAAGAAUGACGCUGCGGAUCCCAUUCCUUAAAAUAGAAUUCCUUCACACGCUGCAAAUAUGACAGAGAAACAGAAAAUAGCACAUGAGAAAAAUGAGAAGGUUGUAAGGCAGAACCUUGUGGGAGAUUGCAUGUCUACCUCAUUUCCCCCUCGUUGAAGAGAGCUGACUUCUUGAGAAGUAAAUUUUGCCAUUGAUACUGACUUCACUCGAUGUGUGAACUCUCGACUGGAAAGUAGAGAUUUUUAAAUAAGAACUUUAGUAAAGAAGACUGUUUAUUAAGUGCUAACUAGAGUUUAUUGCAUUAUAGCCUUAUAGGAUCCUCUCCCUCUCUCUCUCUCUCUCUCUCACCCACACACACACACUCACACUCACACACACAUGCGUGCAUGAACACAUAUAUAAACAGAAAUCUGGUAAUUUUACAAUCAGAAUCUUAGACAUAAGCCAAAAUGUGCAAUUGAAAAGAGAGCUAGAGGGAGGUGCAUGUCACAAAACACAUAAGCAAUUUAGCACUUACUGUAUCCCACUACAAGUUGUGCAAACAAAUGUCCAGAAAUUUGUGCACACGUAUUGCGGUCCCUGUUUGGAAGGAAAAAAUUAGCCUUCAUAUCAUAGACUAUAUUUCAUCUUUCCAAGUUAAUGAAGAAUGUAGUUGGUGAGCUCUUUGGACUACAAAAUUUAUUAAAUCAAUACCAUUAUCAGUUUUAUUACUUUAAAACAAUGAUGCAGGAGAAAACAAAUACGCACAAACUGAAAUAAAUCAACAAUCAAGCAGAAAGUUUGCAAACUGUGGUUUGUUAACUUUUCAUAAUACAAAAGAAGUGGGGAACCCCUUAAUUUUAGAAUCAUUAAAAAGUUAGCUUUUAAAAACAGAAAUUAAUUUGGAAAUUAGCUUUCAGAAAUUGUCAAGAUUUCCAUUAACUGCAAUCCUUGAUAAUGGAACCCUAGGUGUAGUGAUCUUUUUAGUAUAUUCCUUGUAAUUAAAGGGAUCUCUAAACUUCCGAAUUCAAGUUGUAAUCCUAAGUAGAGUCUUUUGAGAGUAUUUAUUCUGGAAGAAUGAAAUGAUUGUUGCCUAUAAGUGGUCAUUAAAAUCCCUGUCUAUGGCACAUAUGCAACUACAUGAUUCUAAAGGAAAGUAAGGACUGAAGAGAAUUCUUUUAAUGAUUUCUAGACUUCAUGAAAUAAAUGCCUUGGGUUUGAGUGGCCUCCAAGUUUAGGACGACUCUUCUAUAUUGCUUUAGAUUAGAAACACACUAGCCCUGAAGAUAUAGAAACCCAUCUGACGUAUGCUAAAGAUCCUCCUCCAACCAUAAUGCUGACUUACUAGCCAAAAGGAGGUGGCUACGUGGUGGACUCAGGGGUCAGUUUUAUCCCCCUUGAACUUGAAUAUGUUGUUUUCCAGUUUUUCAUCUUGUUGAUCUUUUCCUUUUUGGUUCUACAAGGAUUCCACUUGUUUACCCUUGUAAAUCAUUGAUUUGUUAGUAAUAAUUUUGGUUUCUGCUUUAUUUAUGAAAGAAAAAUUAAGGAUUACCAAUUUUACUACUUCAACCCUGUUAUAAGAUGUAACAUAAACAUGUUACCAAAAAAUUUAAAAGAGAGAGAGAGAAGCAAGAGUCCAGUUAGGAGCAAUGAAUCAUUUAGGAAUUUCAUCUUAUUUUCUUUUCUUACCUCAAAAACUCACAAAUCCUUAUCUCAGUAUCCUUAAAAAGUUAUCACAUAAUGAUUUCCACAAAUUUAGCAUUCUGAAAUUGAAGGGAGUUCCUUUUGUUAAGAUUUAUGUGCCUCUUUCUGGAACCCAAGGAGUCAUUAAUAAAGCCCCAGUCACUAUAGCAAUCUCUAUAAGUUUGGAUGCUAGCAUCAGUUUUCAUUCCAAGUGAAGUGUAACUUAGAAAAUAUGGUAGGUUAGAACAUUUCAUCACUCCAAUUUUCACAAACUAUCACAACCCAUGUAUUAGUGUGUAAGCAAGUACAGAGUCUUUUAAAAGAGUAGCGAAAAGUUGUUAUUUAUUAUUAUCAUUUUUCUGAAACUCAAAUUAAAAAGCACCUAAAAAGGAGGGGAUGCAACUCACACACAUAGAUAGAAAAUGACAAAGGCCACAAAACUACAACUGCUUCUCAAUCCCCACCUAAACAAAUAUAAUUAUUAAUUUUUAUCAACAUCUUAAACUUUUAUUUUGUGUUUAUUUCACUUGCUCUUGGUACUCUGGCUUUCCUAAUAUUAGUAUUCCUCUACAAUUUUUUUGGCAUUACUGUGUUACUUUCGAUCACUUCAGCUGACACACCAUAACUUAUCAUUGCCAGAUGAAAAGCCUCAGCUCCAUUGCCUUGGCCAUAAUAUGACAGCAUUUAAAUUAUUAUAAUCAACAACUCAUCAGAUCUAAUAAAAUUUAUCUAAAAUUUGACGCUAACUUCAAUAACAUUAUGCUAAAUGGUUUCAUGCUUCACAAUUCCAUCAACCCACCAUGAAACACAGAAAUGCAACUCUACACCCACAUAACUCUGACACUUAAGUUCAUAUAGCGAAGAGCGGAUUUAUAAUUAAAUAAGCCAAGAACAAACAGAAAGGCUAUAAUUUACUUACCAGACUGUUGCAGUUAAUACAUCUGCGAUUCUCAGGAAGUUUCAAAAGACCCCGAAUAAUUCUCUCAUUUUUUUCAUCUUCCUUCAUUCUAUUCGCCAUUUUCACUCCCUACGGCAAUUAGAAAUCCUGAAGAAAAAAAAAAAAAAAAAAAAAACUAAGUUUGAAAGUUUGAAAAGGUACAAGAGAAGAACAUAGAGUCCAAUCCACAAGAAUUUAGUCCAAUGGGAAUUAUCGAUCAAAACACAAAUUAGGAGUUUGGUUGCGAAGAAAAGGCAUAACAAAAAAAUAAAAAACCGUUGAAAGUUCGAUUUCUCCGCAAUCAAAUAUAAUGUAAAUUUCGGAACCUCCGUUCGGUUGCCGACAAAACUGAGAAAAAGAAAACCAAACAAAACUGCACACUUCAAGGUCUGACACAGUUUUGGUUUCCAGAAAAACGAAAGGGAAAAAAAAUCACCUCAACCGAGUCAUAUAAUUGCAUUAGUGUCAACCAGUGUAGGGUUCGGCCCCCUCGAAACGAAAUCAAUAAAAAACAUAUGAUCAAACCUCAAAAUUCAAUGUUAAUUGCCUACAUUCUCCAACAACCAAACAAUUUCGCACAAAUUACACGAAACAGAUCAAAAUUAAGUUCCAGAAACCACAGAUCUGAAAAAUCAGAAUGCGAUACGAGCGGGAUUCGACCAAGGAGAGUGUUUGGAACCCUAGAAAAUUACCUUCAAAAUAAAAGAAGAAGAAGAAGAAGAAGAAGAAGAAGAAGAAGAGGAAGAAGAAGAAAUGACUCACUCAAUAUUACACAAUUCGCAAUGUUCGACUUCUGCAGGCUUGAGCUGAUUCUAAAGAGAUCACGCGCUGCGAUGUGCCGCCGCCGCAGAGAAUUGCAGAUCUCCUACAGUUCGGAACGACGGCUUGGACAGCUACACAAAGCCUCUGCCUUUGUAAGAAAUGUAGAGCAAGAAAGUUACAGCAGGAGAGAGAAAGAGAGAGGGAGGUGGCUGGGGUAUUUUCUGGUGUUCUCGGACACAGAGAGUUCCCCGUGUCGGCAGGGAGUCACCCUUUUUGACGGUCCUGGGCCUCCUGGCCUUUCUGAUGGAAAUUUUAAGAGGGAAUGAUCGCUUGUGGCGACUGCGUUACUGAUUAAUUAUCCUCAUAUUUUCUUUGUUAAAAAUAGGUCUGAAUUUUAGACCCUGAUUUUUAGUCUAGAAUUGAGGGCAGUUUGGAUUUUUCAUUCCUAUUUCGGGCCAAAAGCAAAUUUGUUUAGAUUUGCUGACAUGGAAUAUUACCUAAUUUAAUUUUCGUAAAAUUAUCUAAUACAUUUUUCACUCGGAAUCCCAAUUGUGUAUUUCUCAUUUGAAAUGAAAUUUAUAAAUAUUUUUUAGUUUUUCUAUCUUAUUUCGAAAAUUAUUUGAAAAGUUCAACAAAUUCAUAUUUUUAUUUUAAAAAUAAAAAAAUAAUAAUAAUAAUUUUUAGAUAAAAAUAUGUGAUAUUCCGUAAGAAAGUUUUUGACAUUAUAUAAAUAUAAGUCUCUUCUAAUCCUAUAUAAUAUUUUAUAAAUCAGUGAAAUUUUUUUUAACUCGGAACAAAUAAUAUCUAUAUGAUUAAAUUAUGAAUUAUGAUAAAUAUCAAAGUCAAUACUCAACCCACCCUAGGAGGGUUUAUUUGAUCCUAGGUGUUUGUCAGUUUGAUUUCGACCCUAUGAAAAUAUUUAUACAAUUAAGUGUAAAUAGUUAUAAAUAUACAUUUUUUUUUAAUUAGAUAUAUUUUACCUUCAAAUAAAAAAAACUCUUAUAAGUAAACCGACACAACUUUGUGUUUUGAAAAAGGCAUUUAUAAAAUCUUAAAUGAAUUAAAUUUUGAAUUGUAAAUUUUAUUUCCUUUUUUUCCUCCACUUCAUUCACUCUUUAUUUACUCCAAAAAAAUCCAUUGCUAAUAAUAUUACAAAAAUAGGCACUCACCAUUUAAUAAAUUCCCUUUGGUGCUCCAAAUUAAGGGAAAAAAAUGGGGGCCACUAUUUGCAAAAUAAACAAAGGCAUUGACAGCUAACGGUGACGCCGUGGUCUGAAUCAGCGGAAUCUUCAAAGAACCAAUCAUGCGAUGGUGUGCCUUUAAGAUCCUACCAGGCAUCACGUGGAGUGUAGUUGUAAAAUUUUAAUCUUCACGUUAGGUUAAGAUAGAUGCAGUCUAUCCUUCCCGUCCCAAGGGACUUUUCUCAAUAGUAUAGUAAUUUAAAAAAGUUAUUCUUCAAUUACUGUAGUGGAAGAAGUUAUUACAAAUAUAGGGUAGUUUUUGCCACAUAGGAGAGAGGAGAGAGGGUAAGAGAGAGGAGAGAGGUGAGAGGAAAGAGGAGAUAGGAGAGAGGAGAGAGGAGAGAGGGUGAAUGGGUAAAAUUUUUUAAAAAAGGGAACUCGUCUCUUGAAGAGACGAGUUCCAUGAAAAAAAAUAUAUAUAUAAUUUUAAAAAAAUUCUCAAAUUAAAAAAAAAAAAAAUUGGAACUAAAGGCUUGAGACGAGUUCCCAUGGGAAAAAUAUAUAUUAUUUAUUUAAAAUAUAUUUUUUAUUUAAAAAAAAUCCCAAAAAAAAUAAAAAAUAAAAUUUCUAAAGGGAACUCGUCUCUUCAAGAGACGAGUUCCUUGGGAAAAAAAAUAUUUUUUUAAAAAAAUAUAUUUUUUAUUUUAAAAAAUCCCAAAUUAAAAAAAAAAACGCAAUUCCAAAAGGAACUCGUCUCUUUAAAAAUAUAUAUAUUUAAAAAAAAAAUUUAUUUUUUUUUUUAAAAUAUAUUUUUUAUUUUAAAAAAUCCCAAAUAAAAAAAAACAAUUCCAAAAGGGAACUCGUCAUAUUAAAAAAAAAAAAAAAUAUUUUUUUAAAAAAAUAUAUAUAUUUAAAAAAAAAAAAAUUCAGAGUUACUUUAGGAAAAAAAAAAUUUUUUUUUUUAAAUAUAUUUUUUAUUUUAAAAAAUCCCAAAUUAAAAAAAAAACACAAUUCCAAAGGGAACUCGUCUCUUGAAGAGACGAGUUCCCAUGUAAAAAAAAAAUAUUUUUUUUAAAUAUAUAUAUUAAAAAAAAAAAAACAAUUCCCCAAAAUUCCCAAAGGAACUCGUCUCUUGAUAAAAAAAAAAAUUUUUUUUUUUAANNNNNNNNNNNNNNNNNNNNNNNNNNNNNNNNNNNNNNNNNNNNNNNNNNNNNNNNNNNNNNNNNNNNNNNNNNNNNNNNNNNNNNNNNNNNNNNNNNNNAAAAAAAAAUUUUUUUUUUUAAAAAUUUUUUUUUUUUUUAAAAACCCACAAUUAAAAAAAAAAACCAUUUCCAAAGGAGACCUUUUUUUUAAAAAGAGAAUUUCCCCUUUAAAAAAAAAAUUUUUUUUUUAAAAAUUUUUUUUAAAAAAAAAAAAAAAAUUCCCCAAAAUUCCAAAAGGAAAUUUUUUUUUGUAAAAAAAAAUUUUUUUUUUUUAAAUUUAAUUUUUUAAAAAAAAAAUUUAGGGUUCCCUUUAGGAAAAAAAAAAAUUUUUUAAAAAAAUUUUUUUUUUUUUUUAAAAAAUCCCAAAUUAAAAAAAAAAAAAAAAAAAAAAAAACAAUUCCAAAGGAACUCGUUUCUUGAAGAGACGAGUUCCCUUGUAAAAAAAAAAUUUUUUUUUUUAAAUAUUUUUUUUAAAAAAAAAAAAAAAAAAAAAAAAAACGAUUCCUCAAAAUUCCUAAAAGGAACUCGUCUCUUCAAGAGACGAGUUCCCAUGUAAAAAAAAAAAAUUAAAAAAAAUAUAUAUAUAUAUUUAAAAAAAUAAAAAUUCAGAGUUCCCUUUAGGAAAAAAAUAAUUUUUUUAAAAAAUAUAUUUUUUAUUUUAAAAAAUCCCAAAUUAAAAAAAAAAAAAAAAAAAAAAAAAACAAUUCCAAAGGGAACUCGUCUCUUCAAGAGACGAGUUCCCUUGUAAAAAAAAAAUUAUUUUUUUUAAAUAUAUAUAUUAAAAAAAAAAAAAAAAAACAAAUCCUCAAAAUUCCUAAAGGAACUCGUCUCUUCAAGAGACGAGUUCCCAUGUAAAAAAAAAAAAUUUAAAAAAAAUAUAUAUAUAUAUUUAAAAAAAUAAAAAUUUAGAGUUCCCUUUAGGAAAAAAAAUAANNNNNNNNNNNNNNNNNNNNNNNNNNNNNNNNNNNNNNNNNNNNNNNNNNNNNNNNNNNNNNNNNNNNNNNNNNNNNNNNNNNNNNNNNNNNNNNNNNNNUUUUUGGGGGGGGGGGUUCCCCGUGAAAAAAAAAUUUUUUUUUUUAAUUUUUUUUUUUAAAAAAAAAAAAAAAAAAAAAAAAAAAAAAACCAAUUCCUCAAAAUUCCUAAAGGGAACUCGUUUUUUCAGGGGGGGGGUUCCCCUGUAAAAAAAAUAUAUAUUUUUAAAAAAAAAAAUUCGGGGUUCCCCUUGGGGAAAAAAAUAAUUUUUUUAAAAAAUAUUUUUUUUUUUUUAAAAAAUCCCCAAUUUAAAAAAAAAAAAAAAAAAAAAAAAAAAAAAAAAAAAACACAAUUCCAAAGGGAACUCGUCUCUUAAAAAUAUUUUUUUUUUUUAAAAUAUAUAUUUAAAAAAAAAUAUAUUUUUUUUACAUGGGAACUCGUCUCUUAUUUUUUUUUUCCAUAGGAACUCGUCUCUUCAAUAGACGAGUUCCCUUGAUGAAUUGUUUUUUUUUUUUUUUUAAAUAUUUUUUUUAAAAAAAAAUUUGUUUUUACAUGGGAACUCAUCUUAAAGAGACGAGUUCCUUUGAGGAAUUGUUUUUUUAUUUUAAUAUAUAUAUUUUAAAAUAAAAAAUAUUUUUAAGAGACGAGUUCUUUUGGAAUUGUGUUUUUUUUUUUUUUUAAUUUGGGAUUUUUUAAAUUUUUUUAAAAAAUAAUUUUUUUUCCUAAAGGGAAUUCUGAAUUUUUAUUUUUUUAAAUAUAUAUAUUUUAAAAAAAAAAAAUUUUUUUUUACAUGGGAACUCGUCUCUUGAAGAGACGAGUUCCUUUAGGAAUUUUUUUUUUUUUUUUUUUUAUUUUUUUUUUUUAUUUUUUAAAUUUGGGAUUUUUUAAAAUAAAAAAUAUAUUUUUUAAAAAAAUUCUUUUUUUUCCUAAAGGGAACUCUGAUUUUUUUUUUAAAAUAUAUAUAUUUUUUAAAAAAAAUAUAUAUUUUUUUACAUGGGAACUCGUCUCUUGAAGAGACGAGUUCCCUUUGGAAUUGUGUUUUUCUUUUUUUUUUUUUUUUUUUUUAAUUUGGGAUUUUUUAAAAUAAAAAAUAUUUUUUUUUUCCUAAAGGGAACUCUGAAUUUUUUUUUAAAUAUAUAUAUUUUUUUUAAAAAAAUAUUUUUUUUUGUUUUUUUUUUUAAUUUGGGAUUUUUUAAAAUAAAAAAUAUUUUUUUUUAAAAAAUAUUUUUUUUCCUAAAGGGAACUCUGAAUUUUUUUUUUAAAUAUAUAUAUAUUUUUUAAAAAAAUAUUUUUUUUACAUGGGAACUCGGACGAGUUCCUUUAGGAAUUUUGAGGAAUUGUUUUUUUUUUUUUUUUAAUAUAUAUAUUUUUAAAAAAAUAUUUUCUUUAACAUGGGAACUCGUCUCUUGAAGAGACGAGUUCCCUUUGGAAUUGUUUUUUUUUUUUUUUUUUUAUUUGGGAUUUUUUAAAAUAAAAAAUAUAUUUUAAAAAAAAAAAAAAAUUUUCCUAAAGGGAACUCGUCUCUUCAAGAGACGAGUUCCCUUUAGGAAUUUUUUUUUUUUUAAAUAUAUAUAUUUUUAAAGAGACGAGUUCCUUUUGGAAUUGCGUUUUUUUUUUUUAAUUUGGGAUUUUUUAAAAUAAAAAAUAUAUUUUUUAAAAAAAAUAUAUUUUUUUAAAAAAAUAUUUUUUUUCCCAAGGAACUCGUCUCUUGAGGAGACGAGUUCCCUUUAGAAAUUUUAUUUUUUAUUUUUUUUGGGAUUUUUUUAAAAUAAAUAAUAUAUUUUAAAUAAAUAAUAUAUAUUUUUCCCAUGGGAACUCGUCUCAAGCCUUUAGUUCCAAUUUUUUUUUUUUUAAUUUGAAAAUUUUUUAAAAAUUAUAUAUAUAUUUUUUUUCAUGGAACUCGUCUCUUCAAGAGACGAGUUCCCUUUUUUAAAAAAUUUUACCCGUUCACCCUCUCUCCUAUCUCCUCUUUCCUCUCUCCUCUUUCCUCUCUCCUCUCCUCUCUCUCACCCUCUCUCCUCUCUCCUCUCUCCUCUCUCCUAUGUGGCAAAAACUACCCUAUAUUUGUAAUAACUUCUUCCAUUACAGUAAUUGAAGAAUAACUUUUUUAAAUUACUGUACUAUUGAGAAAAGUCCCCGUCCCAAGCCCAUGUUGUAGUGGUUGCGUUGGUGCCACUGCCAAUUUGCCAACUCAUUGGUUAUUUGGAAUCUACAACUAAUAUAUAGUUUUUAAGUUGGUAAAUUGAAAAUAAAUGCACUUUCAAACUUAUUUCCAAAUUUUUUUUUCCUAAGAGUAAGAAAAGGGAAUUUUAAAAUGAUUCUAAUAUUUGAUUUCACUAAAUAAAAAAAUAAAAUAAAUAAAAUAAAUCAAAAUUGACUAAAAUUGUAUAUAUUUGUGAAUUAUUUAAAUUUUGUAUAAUAAAAUAAGGUAUGAAAAUAUUUAUUAAUUUCAAUUUUUUAUUUUUUUUGGGCAUUUACGUUCAAUUUUUUUGAAACCAAACAAAAAGAAAAAAAAAACGAGAAAAAGGUAGAAAGAAAUAUAAAAAAAGGAAAUGUUUUUUCAAAAAUGUUAAAAAUAUUUUUUUUUUCAUAUUUGAUUUCAUCACGAAAGAUACUAAAAAAUCAAAUAUAAUUAAAAAAAUUUAGAAAUUUAUAUAUUUUUAAAUUAUUUAAUUUUAUAUUGAAAAAGAAAACUAAGUUAAAUUUGAAGUAACAUGUAAAAAUUAUUCAUUAAAUUAAAAUUUAUUUUUUUAUUUUGACUCAUUUUUUCUUUUUUCUUUUUCCUUUUUUUUGUACUUUUUUCUUUUCUUGUUAUAAAAUUAGUUAAAAAUUUAUAUAUUUUUAAUUAUUAAAUUUUUAUAAGGAGGAGAAAAAAAGAUAAAUAUGUUUAAAAUAAAAAUAAUUUAUUGAUUUUAAUUUUUUUUCUUCUUUUUUUCUUUCCUUAUUCUUUUUCUCUCUAUUUAAUUUCUUUGGCAAUUUCCCUUUAAGUUUUUUGGAAUCAAACAUAAUAUAUGAAAAAAUGGAUUGUAAUAACCACAAAAAUUUUAGAAAAUACAAAACAAUCCCAACUUUUAAUUACAAUUAGGCUUGGUCCGUGUGUAAGCCACAAAGAGCUAGCUAAUAACAUUUUUUUUAUUUUUAAUUUUAUUUUAAUUACUUGAUAAAAAUUAUAUAAAAAUAAUAAUUUUCAUCUAUUUUAAGGUCGUGUUUGAAUAUAUUCUAUUUUAAAAUAUUUAUAUUUAUUGCACAAUUAUAUUGAUGGUUAAAAUCAUAUCUUUAUUAGAGAGAAUAUUAAAAUUGCAUUUAAUGGUUAUUUUAAGAAGUAUUUCUAAUUUUUUUUAACACUUGAAAAUUUUUAUAUUUCAAAUAUAAAAAAUGUUAGAACACUAUAAAUUGUAUUUGUUGUCUUUGAAAAGAACAAUUAUAAUUUAAUGAUAGACAAUCUAUAUCAAAAUUAAAUAUAAGUUUUAUAAUAAAUUAAUAAAGUAUUUAUUUAUUUAUUUUCUAUAUUUGUUCUUAUUAAUAUCUUUUUUUCUUUUUUUCUUAUUAGUAAAUUCAAAUAUGAACUCAAGUAUAUUAUUAUUGAUUAAAAAUAUUAAAAUCAAAAGGAUUAUGACAUGUCUAAUAUUAGUAUUUUGAAUAAAAAAAUUUAGAUAUUAAAUAAAAAAAAUAGUUAAUUAUUAUUUUUAUUAAUUUAAUUCAUCUUACUUAAUUUAAUUUAUUCUUUAUUAUUUAAUAAAUAAGUAUAUUUUAUUAUUUGUUGAAGUUUGAAAACUAAAAUAAUUUCAAAUAAGAUUUUUAACUUUUGUAAAACUCAAACAAAAAGAAAACAUACUUUAAUCAUAAAUUUCUUCCAAAAAGUAUCAAGCUAGUAUGAAAGGAAGGUAUUUAUAAAUAUUGAAAUAAAUGGUAUGCCUUAAUUUUGUGACACCUGUCAUAAUUAGAAAAUAAGUAUGUCUUAAAUUAGAAAGAAACUUAAAUGUUAAAUUCAAAUAAUUAUUUGAAUUUUGAAAUUAAUAUCCUUAUCUAUAAUUCUAUAUAAAUAGAUUAAUUAUUUAGAAAAAAGAAAAAGAAAAUAAUUGGAUAGAAUUUUGUAAUUUUAUUGCAAUCAUAAUUAGCCAUUGACCAAGUCUAUAAAGAAAAAAAAAACAAUAUCUAUAAGAGAAUUAAAUUUUUUUUUUCUAAAGGAUAUAACAAAUUGUUAGUAUUUGUUUAUUUUUUUUAUUGUCAUAAAUUGAUUUUUUUUAAUAAAAAUAAUAUUUAAAUUUAAAAAAAUUAUAUCUUAAUUUUAUAUAUUCGGUAAAUAUUAAUUUUACUAUCAUUAAUAUUUUCUUCUGAUAAUUAUUAUUCUUUAUUUUUAUUUUAGCAAAAAUUUAAAAUAGAAAAGAGCAUAUAAUCAACCAAAAUAGUACAAAUUUUUUAAAAAGCAUAAAAAAAUUAUUUUCAUUUAAGUAAUUUAUUUAUUUUGGUUACAUAUAUCUUUCUUUUAUUCAUACAACAUUAAAACAUUAAUAGUUUGACAAAUCUAAAAUCUAUUAAAGGGUUUUGAUACCCAAACACUUAUCUUUCUUCAACCCCUUCCUCCUACAUUCCAAAUUUUGUUAUCAUGUUUGGUAAAAUAAUUUAAUAGAAUGACUUAAAGUAAAAAAUAAAUUUAAGUAAUAAGUAAAAACAAUUAACUUAUUAUUAAGUCUACAUCUUCAUUUUACUUUUUUAAUUCAAUUUAUUUUACCUUUUACCUUAAUUAUAAUUUAUGAGGAUAAAUAUACUAAUUCGAUGAUUUAAAAUAAGUUAUAAGUUAAUUUUAUCAAAAAACUUUAAUACUUAAAGCAAGAAUUAAGUAUUAAGUUUUAAAUGAAUUGUUACAUCGACAAAAACGUUAAUACAAACAUUAUUAAUAAAAAAAUACAAAUAUAAAACAAUUAACAAAAACGGUAUACUAGUUUUUAAUGUGAUUCGACCAACCAUGCAUACGUUAAUCGAUGAAAAAAAAUCAUUUUACUAUACAAUAGAGAACAUUACAGAUGAUAUAACCAUAUACAACUAUUGGGUUCUCGAAACCAAUGUUUUCAAAAUCGAACCAGUUAUUGAAUCGAAAAAGUUAUUGGUUCAUGGUUCACUGGUUAUAAAUAUAUAAUUUUAUAAAUUAUUAAAAUUUAAAAUAAUUAUAAAAAUAAAAAUAAUAAAUUAUAUAUUAUUUAAAAAUUUAAAAUAAAAAAUAGUUUCAAAUUAGAAAUUAAAAUUAAAAUCAUAACUUUAAUUUAAAGUUUGAAAUUUGAAAUUUUAUUUUUAAAUCAAAAACUUAUUUUAAAAUCAGAAAUUUAUUUAAAAUUGUAAUAUUUCAUUAAUUUAAAUUAAAAUCAUAAGUUUAAAAUCACAAAGUAAAAAUAUAUAUAUAUAUAAAAGAAAAUAAAUAAUAAUGAAAUGUGGUAAAAAAUAAAAAAUAAAAAUCAAGAAAGGAAGGAAGGAGAGGGACGUGCCAAAAAUGGGAAGAAGGUGGUGGUGGUAGGGGCGGGUUCUAUUGAUGGGAGGGAUUGUUGGAAAAAAAAAAAUGGUUGAAUUGGACAGUUCGCUUCCAAUCCGACUACUUUUCGACCCAAUUGAUCGAACCAGACCAUAACUAUGACCGACCAUUUUGGUCCGAUUUUUAGAAUCAUGCCCAAAACAUUCUAUGUUUUCUCCCUCUUUGUAUCCCUACCCUAUCACAAGCCCUCUUGUAUUGUCUUUAUAGGUCCAUUUUCAUCUCAUAACUUUGUCUCCUUAUGACCUAUAAUAUGUAUAGAGAUAUUUUGAACAACCUUCCUUAUUCUACAAAGAAGUCUAACAUUACAAUAAUAUAUUAACCUAAAAAAUUAUAUAUAAUAUUCUUUACAAAUAAAAAAUAAAAAAUGAACCUAUACUAAUUAAGAAUUUGGGACACUUCCUAAAAAUCUUCACCUUUGAUCNNNNNNNNNNNNNNNNNNNNNNNNNNNNNNNNNNNNNNNNNNNNNNNNNNNNNNNNNNNNNNNNNNNNNNNNNNNNNNNNNNNNNNNNNNNNNNNNNNNNAGAGCAAUCGACUCCACCUUCACAAAAAAUUCAUUUUGUUCCUAACAAUCUUCACAUUUGAUCAAAUUUCAUGAAAUCAAUCUUCAAACUCUCUAUGAUACAAACUUUUUUUGUAUCAUAUUACUAUGAGAGAGCAAUCGACUCCACCUUCACUAAAAAUUCAUUUUGUCUUCAUUUUGUGAGUUAUGUGAUCUUUUGCUCUUCCAAAAAUCUUCAACACAUGCUCUAAUACCAAUUUGUUAUGUCGACGAAAACUUUGAUGCAAAUAUCGUUAAUAAAAAAACACAACAAUAAAAUAAUCAACACAAACGGUAUAUGAGGUUUUAACAUGGUUUGACCAACCAUGCCUAUGUCCACGGAUGAGAGAUAAUUAUUUAACUAUACAAGAGAAAACAUUACAGAUGAUAUAACUAAAACAUUACAAAGGACAUAACUAAAUACAACUAUUGGGUUCCUUAAAUAUCUCAAGUUUCCCUACUCUACGUAUCCUUACCCUACCACGAGUCUUCUCACUUCACCGGGUACCUUUCAUUAUUCCUCACAUCUUUAUCCACCUCAUAUAAUCUUUACCGUCCUAUCUUCAUCUCAUAAAUUUUUUUUCCUAAUAAUUUAGAAUAUUUAUAGAGAUCUUUCUAAUAAUUUUUUUUUUAUUCUAUAAGAAAGUUUAAUAUUACAAUAAUAUAUUAACCUAAAAUAUUCUCUAUAGUCUUUUUUACAAAAAAUAAAAAUAAUCUAUACUAAUUAGGAAUUCGGGACACUUCAUAACAUUAACAAAUAUAAUUUAACUUAAAAUCAACCUAAAUCAUUAAAUAAUGAAUAUUAAGUAUGAAGUCUUAACCGAAGGAGGUGAGGGAACCAAGUAAUAUGGUAGAGUUUUGAGUUCAUCUUGUAAAUUUGAAUUAAGAUGAAGACUAUUUGAAAAUUGUCUCAAAUUAUCUUUCGAGUUCAUUUGUAAGUUACUUAUUGUUUUCCUAAUGGGCUACAUUAAUACAAAGGAUUUUCAAAGAUAUAUUAUAUAGACUUUCUCUUAAGCGCAGACAGAAAAGGUUAUUAAUUUUCAGAUUAAAAUUAUUUUAAGCGAGAGCCGUUAUACAGCGCCAUUUCCACAUAAAGGGAUACGGCGACACUCGAGAGACUUUCCCGCGUUUCGGACAGAAUCGAAACCCUAACUACCAUGGAAGGGGAAGAAGACGCUUUGAAUGAGAACGAUUCAGACGACUCCAUGUUGCCAAUGGCGAGGCGAAGGAGAGAAGCGAGUGACGAGGAUGACGAUGGCAGUGAAUUCGAGGACAGAGCAAGGUCUCGCACGGUUGAUCGUAGUGCCCGCUUUGGCUCCGGCAAUGAAUCUGACGGUCUCAGUGAGGCACAGCUGUCUGAUAAUGAUGAAGAAUCAUAUACAGAAGAGGAAGAAGUGGACGAGGUUGAGGUAUUGGUGGAGCUGCCGGAAUCGGAUGCGGAGCGGACAGGGCUUCACGGUGAGGAUAAGCGAAACGAAGAGAAGAUGAAUUUGGAACCGUUCUUGGUUCCGAAAUUCGGCUCUUUCUACUUGCACGAUGAUCGGUCCAGAGAUACAGGUGGUCGUGGUCGGCGCCGGUACGUAUUUUUUAGUUUUGAUUUUCAAUAUUAGGAGUUUUUUUUGGGUGAAAUGCGUGAAAGUACUUUGGAUCUAUUUGUUUGUUUAACAAUUCAGUGUGAAUGAAGGUGCAAUCACUGUCUCUGUUUGUUUUGAUGGAAAAAAUUUCCCGCGUAAAUUGUUUCUCAAGAAAAGGAUUCCGCUUGUAAAUAGAUUUUUUAUUUAUUUUGAUUGCAAAAGUUGAAUUGAUUUUUCAAAGUUUUUGAGGGCCUAGUUUUGGACGAAACAAAUUCAGUUAGUGAAAAUAAAAUUUUACCACUGGAAAAGGUUUAUUCUGGAAAAUUAUACAACUAUUUUUUCUUUCCCUUUCUUUCUUCCUUUUGGAUAUCUCUAAAUGCAGAGUCAUGGUCGAAAUAUCCAAUAUUUUGGUGACUAGUUUGUCUGGAAACAAAUGGAUUCAGUGAAAAUAAAAAUUUGCAUGUGGAAAAAUAAAAAUGUUUCAAUAUGAAAGGUGCUAUGUUAUUUUCCUUGGAAAUUGCUGUACUUGUGAAAGUGUUUGCUUUUUGCACGAAAUUGUGUUGAUCUCAUGCAGUGGAGAAUUAUGCAGAAAUAGUCAUCAAUUGGGAGAUCAAAAUGAUUACUGGCAACAUAGAUGCCUAAGUUCUGUCUUAAAAUGCAUAAAAUGCCUGAAUUUUGUGAUUGCAGAAGAGAGUCUCUCUGCACCCACUUUUGAGGUCUUUUUCAUUUUUGCUUUCCUGUUUGUAUCAUGGUUGAACGAGAUUCUUGUUUCCUUCAGGCGUGUUGUUAGCGGAAGUAAGUUGUGGGAGACCAAAGAUGAACAGAAAUGGGGCCAUGACAAGUUUGAAGAGAUGAUGCAGCAGGAAAGGCAACAUCAGGAGUCUAAUGUAUUUAUUGAAGUCCUAUUACAUACUGAUAAUUGUUCUCCAUUUCCUAAUAGUUUGUUUUGUGGUGGUGUAAAACAUAUUACAAUGGUUUAUCUUUUGUCAUUUCUCAAACUUGAGCAACAAUAUCCGAACAGCUAUUAUGGCACUUUCUUUAAAUAUGCAGGUAAGGAGGAUUAGUUCAGAUCGUUCUCAAGGUAAUAGUAAGAGUCAAGGCCAUGGAAGUGGCAAUGUGAAAGGAACCAGGUAUAGACCCCAUGAAAACUCUGACAAUCAGAACAAAUCAUCAAAAGUUGUAAGAGGGAGAGGGCCUAUAAGAUAUAAAUCUCUAACAAGGAGCAAAAAUAUAAUCCCAUCAACAAAAAGCAAACAGUGAGUGAACUCCUUGGGUAUGAAAAGGUUUUCUACAAUGCUUCUUUCAUUGGAAUUUAUUUUCAAAUCCAUCUGUUCUUUAUGCCCUCCAAGGUCUGGACAGUCCCUGGAAACAACUUCAAACACCAAUUCAGAGAGAGUAUUAUUACACACUUCAGAUUCACAGUCUGUUCCGCUUGCCCGUAUGAAGUGUGUUGCUGCAUCAAGUUCGAGUUCUGCUUGGCUUUAUCCAGAUGGUUCUACCAGUCAUCUCUCUGUCGCACAGAAAUGGGAUGCAAAACCUGGAGGUACCAGUGGAUGUCAGCUGAUGUCUGUAUUGCUGGACGAGAAUUUUGCUGUGUCAAAACCUGGUGUUUUUCAACAACGGAACACUUUAGCUCAUCCUGUUGACCCCAAUCCGUUCCGCUUUAAGUCUGUUCAUCCGGUUGGUGGACAUUGUUUGACCAAUCUGCCUUCACAUUCUUCUGUGAGCCUGUCAACUGAUACGGGUGGAUCUCCCCUUUCCUUGGAUCAGGUAAAGAGUUUAUUUCUGGUCAGAGCCUCAUCAUCAAUUAACUGCAUCUUCCAAGCAAGUAAAUAGAGUUUCUCCACAGGGAUGGCAUCCUUCUGUUCAACCAAGGCCCCUUCAAGGCACAGUUCAACCUCCUUUAUGGGGUCCUGUACAGAAGUCGAGUCAGCAUUCUGAGUUUGGAUCUCAAGCUUCUUCUGAAGUCUUGGCAGUGAAUUCAUCUGAAUCUGGAGCAUUGGUAUCUCUACCAGGAGGUAAAUCAAAACAUGCAUUGGAUGGAAAAGGAACAGUCAUUGUCGAAGGAAAUAAAAGGGGUAACCUAUAUAGAAGAGGCGGUCAGAACUUUCCUGCUACCCCAGGAAAUUUUCCAGGUUAGGUAUAUCUGUAUGUCACUUCCCUUCUUAUACUGGAAGUACUGACACUUCCCUUGCUAUCGGUAGCAGCAAUUCCUGUUUUCACGAGUGCUUUAUCGCACUAUUACUACUAUUCCCAGUUAUGCUUGGGGUACUAGUACUAGUACUACUGCUACUACUUAUCACCGCUAGCCUCAUAACGCUACAACUAGACCCAAUUCUCUGGUGUACUUCUAUCACUAUUCCAAUAUCACAACUAUUACUGUUACUAUAACUACUAUCCAGUAACCCAACAUAUGGUGUACUUCUACUAUUACUAAUAGUGAUUACAGUUAUUGUCAUAGGACCAACUCACAAGAAAUUGAAAGGAAAUCAUUAGAGAGAGUAUACAUUUGAAUAACAAAAGAAUUGCAAAGAAUUGUACCCAAGCUAGAAGUAUUCCUAGGUUCUAAUUGUUUCUUUGAUGACCAAAAACAUCAACCUUUUUUUUUAUUUUAUCUGCUACUAACUGUUCUUUCAUACAGGUGACUUGGCUGAUCACCUCUCCUUUUAAUUCAAAACAUAAUGCAGACCAUUAAUUUUGAAACUGAUCCUGUCACAUGAGUCCAUAUGACCUUUCUGCAUUAAUCAGUUCGGAAGAGAAGUAUUUAUUUUCCAAUUACCGGUAAAUUCUUAAUAAGUUAGCCAAACAACUAUAAUUAGAUGAAAUGGAUCAUAGGUGGAUUUAAUUGGAAUUUGGGCCUUUUCACAUAUUGUAAACUAUUGAUAAUUCACAAUUCAAAUUAGCUAAGUGUAGCUCUUACAUUAUUGUUUGAUUUUUUAAGUCAGUAAACCUAGUGGUUAGCUUCAAAUUAACUCCUCAACUAGUCAUUGUUUACUGUAGUUCCAGCAAUUAAUAACCCUGUCUAUUAAAAUGACUAUUAUUAAAAGGCAUGACAAACUAUAAUUUAUAUCUUUAUUUUGAUAUGAUUGGCAACUUGUUUGCGUUCAUUUACUCAAGUUAGUAUUAUCGAACACUCUUGGGCCUCAUCCUGCUUCAAUCUCUACCUGAAUUGGGAAAAUUUGAGGACUCUUCUUUUUGUGUAUCAUAUGGCUUUGGAUCUGCAUGACAUCAUCCCGGACACUCCAUUACAUCUACAUUAAAGGCGUGAAAUUUUAGAAGUGGAAAUUUUCGUCUUAUGAUACCAUCAUUUUUAUCAUAACACAGUUCUUCUGCCUCUUCUUCAUCUUUGAGUUUAUAUCUUUGGCCAUGUAGUGAUGCAAUUUGGUGACCAGCAUCAUGGUGGUCUUGGAUUUCCUCCUGUUUGUACGUGUCUCACUUGUUAUUCGUCUCUAUCCGAACAUGGUUUUGGCAAUUCUGAUAUAGCAUGGUAAGCUCUGUUUCUCAUUAUUUUUGUGUACUUUUCGAGAAUUUUUUCCUUCUUUCCUUGAGGAUUAUAAAUGCUCCCAAAAGCUAGGUUGUCCGGAUCAGCAAGGUGGAUUUGUGAUUGAUUAAUGACUGAAUUUGGAAGAGAUACUGGAUGGUGAUACUCAUGGGGAAGCUUCUCUUUUGAAUAUACGUAAUAACUGAACACUGGAUCCAGCUGAUUUUCCCAUUAAAGAUAGAAAUAAUCAUGCAUACCUCUGUGAGAAGGGAUGGUUUGAUGGUUGGUGGCGUUGAUUUUUCUGUAACAAGGGAAGUGAACCUAGAGAUUGAGUUCUUGUUGUUAUAAUUGCUUGUUAAUUUGAGUUCUUACACUGUUUCAAGAUUACCAAAAAAGGUACAACAAUGGAUCAGCUUAUGGAGUAGUCAAUGUCAAAGCACCCAAACUCCUAGCAACUUUCUGCAAAAAUCAAAGGAGUUCCUUUGAAAUGUUAUCACUGUCCAAAUAUUGGAGUUAUUUCCUGCAUGAUUUCCUUUUAGUUUGAUCUUCUUUUUUUUCCUGAUAAUAUGAGCUUACAAAGUUUAAGGAGGAUUUUAGUGAUUUCUAUAAAGAGGCACAUAGUUUGAUGUGAUUAUCUCAAUGUAAGUCUACCCUGCUGUUGAACACUUCCUUUUAUUUAGUUCUCUAGUUGAUCUCAGUUCAAAUGGUCAAAUACCAAGAGGAGAAUGGUUAAGUUUUUUUUUUCUUUUCCAUCAACCAAUCAUCCACACAAACCAUUUCCCCGUUCCUUUGUUUUUUCCUAAAAAAAUUCUAAUAGUGCAGACAUAAUUGGCUAAAUUUGAUAUUUGACUAUACUAAGGACACUCUUUAAGUAUUGUUAUACUUUAAAUUGCAUAUAUAAUUGGUUGAAAACUGGACUUCUUAGUCAAUCCCAUAUACUGGGUUUAAGGUUUGUUGAGUGCAGAUAUUUUGUUGCUUCUGCAUUGAUUUUGUACCAUGUUGUGAUUGUUACCUGAGCUAUUUCUUUGGUUCCCUCUACCUACACCACCAACACGCAUGCACUUGUAUCUCCAUGGUAAGGGACAGGUGUCAAACCCCCAUGUUGCCAAUUUUGGUGGCUGCUACGGUAGGUUUAGGUGCUGCAUGUUGUUCUCCCUACAUUGCUGCUCAUCCAGUGAGACAAGCAUCUCCUGUUGGAGUAUCUGGGUGAGCUUGUUGUAAUUAUCUCUUUGCAAGUUUUCAUUUUUUGUUUCUUCCCUCCCUGAUAAUCUAUAAAUUACAUAGUUUUGAGGAAUACUCCUUUUCUCACUAUUAAAUGCUUUUAUAUUGUGGAAUGUUAUGUAAACUUCUCCACUCCUGUCCUGGAGUUCACCUUACUCUUGCUCUUGCUUAGCUUUUUGGAGAAUUGGUUUUGGUCAAAUAACUUAUGGAUAUUUGUUGCAAAGCACAUAGUGAAUAAAAAUAAAAGUUCUCAUGCUAUCUUAAGUGAGGCCUUCAUUGGUCUUUUUGGAAUUACACUAUCAUCCUCAGUAGUUGCUGGACUCGGAAUCUUAAAACAUGUCGCCCCUUGUCUGUCAAAUUUCCUCUCUUUCUAGAUACUUGGUUGUAGUGCUUUUAUCGGUUUUGUGUUUAAAGAAGAAACUCAGUUGUCUGAGUUCCUUUUAAGCAAGGCAACGGGCACAAACAUGGCUAGUGGUGGCAGAAUACCUACAGAUGAACCUGGUUAGUUUUGCAGUAUUGUUCUCCUGGUUAUGCACAAAGCACUAGUUACUUUCCACUUUGGACUACAGCAAAAAGCUAUUUUUAACUAAUAUGAUGUCCCUGCAGGACAUGAAGUUUGGCAACAAAAAUUCAAACCUCACAGGCAAGUUGACUGUCUAUGCGUGUGCAUGUGCCAGCACCUGCAUGCUGCACCUCAACUGUCUUUUUCCUUUGCCCCCCUCUUUGGCUGAGGUUUACUAGUCUUUUGUGCAGAUAUUCAAAGAUGAACUUUGACAAGCAAAGUGAAUAGGUAAGGAUUAAUGUACUUAAAUAACCAGGUUAGUCUAAUUGAUAUCUUCACCAUAUGUCUGAAAUUCCUACUUUGUUUCAGCUUCAUUUGAUUACAAUUUAUUUUGUUUAGAGUUUAUUGUAAAGAUAAUUUACAUUGAGGUCUUAUCAUAGAAAUAGAAGUUUUUUUAAUACAAAUAGAAGUCCUGAAAUAAGAUUUCUUAUAUGAUAAGCAAUUGGGUUUAGAAUCUCUGUGUAUAUAUUUUAAGUUUUUAAAUGAGAACUAUGUGGAUUGGAGAAGGAAAACACCCAUAGCGAGCUCAGACAGAUCAUGUUUCAUGGCUUGUACUGAGUCAUGUUUUGUCUGUUCAUGCAUCAGGUUGGGUGUUGAUAUUUUUUGGACUGUGACUUGAAUAAUUCUGUGCCUAUGAUUUGUCGAACAGGUCUUGUGUGAUUUGUGAUUUUCUUUUGUACUGUCACUGCAGAACAAGUAGUGACAGAGCUUCCAAUGGCAUGCAACACUCACAUUAUACUCAUGUUAUCUCUAGAAUCCUCUUUAUUUCUGAUAGUUCGGACCUUCCAUCCCCUUUAUGAUCUCCGGUCUUUGUUCUAGUUGCUUUGGCCAGUAACAUGUCACCAGAUAUGUAGGUUUGCUUUCCUGUUCUUAGGUUAUUUUUCUUACUUUUCCAAAAUUAAUUAUGCAUGUUUUGGAUUAUUGAAUUAUUUAGGAACCACAUGUUACAUGAUAUCACUCUUGUUGGAGUGCUCUUUGGUCAGAGUAUGUUGGGAAAAUGGGUCGUUCUCUGUGUUACUGUUGCCUUGGUUGGUCAGUCGUCCUUAUCCAGAUAUGUUAGAAUGGACGUUAUGAUGCUGUCAUCACUCUUAUUGUCUUCGCUUCAUAGAAACUUGUGUGUUGUGAUGUUGAAAUAGUCUAAAAGUGACAUGUUUCAGAAUUUGCAGAAUACAAAAAUUCAGAAAUUGCCUAUGACUCCAGUUUGGAAGCCACUGAAUGAUCUAGCUUUAAUUUUGGGUUGGGAAGCGUCUGUAUGAUAACCAGUGCAUAAAAUAUGCACAGUAAAAACAAUCUUGUUUCAAGGGAUUCGAAAUUUCAAAUCAAUGUUUAAAACAUUUGUGAGAUAAGCGUUGGUUUUGAUUGGCAAAAUUCAUGCAGAACCAACACAAAUUGAAUGCUAACAGAAAACAGUUCUCUUCUCUGGGGACAUAACACAGGUGACAGAUAGUUCCCCUCAAAAUCAACCCUGAGGACACGGGCAUAUUUGUGCCCAAUUACUAGACCUCAUUCUUGACUCCAGUUUCUAAAACAGGGACAAGGCAUAACUCCAAAAGUCACACUUAAUAAAAUAAAAAUGGAGCUUCCAUCAUUGGACUUUUAGCUUCCAGUUCCUCGCACAGUAUUUUAUUUCCUGGCAUGCUACAUGGUUUUUUCUUGAAACUAUUUGCACCAUAAAACUGGUGCUUUAAUUUCCUGGAGAGCAAUUUCUGAGAAAUAAUCUAGACAUUUUCUUCAUUAUUGUUGCUCUUGUGUAAUAUUCUGUAGUAUUUGGCUUUUCCCUUUGGUACUCAACAUAUUGUUUCACUAUAUGUCAUUGUAUAACCCUCUUUCUCUAGGCUUGGAUCUUGGAAAGAAUGAGGAAAGGACAAGGAAAAGCUGAAAAUAGGUUAAGAAGGAAUUCAUUUUUAAGCAACUUCAGGAUUUUAUUUUCCUUUCCUUCUUUCUUUUUGAGACCCAAAACAUGGUUUCCUUGCUUGUUCUUGCAGCUGUAUGAUGGGAGAAGAGCUAUUGGUUUGGCAGGUUCCAUGCUUGAUUGGAGAAGAGUUAAUGCAGCUUGAUUGGCAAUUCCUUGACUAAUGCACCAGAGAACUCACAACAUGAUUUUUUUUUUUUUUUGUUUGUAGAGAAGCUUGUUAGAAACUGUAUGAAUUCUUUGAGAAAUGUACCUAAUAGAACGUAUGGAGCAUGAAAGGGUGUUUUCUUCUUGUCUACCAAAAGAAAAUUUAGAAAGAAAAACAAAAGUGAAAAGUGGCCAGUAUAAAAAACAAAGAACAAUUUGCAUAGUUGUUGCUUUUAAACUCCCCACAUAUUCUAGAUGUUGCACCCUGGUCUCCAUCAUUCUCAUCCUCAUUUUGUAUUAUAUUUGUAUAUUCUGUUUUUCUCUCAGAUUCUCUUUCUAUCAUCCCCUUAUGCUGUAAGCUGCUUAGGACCAAAGGUCAUGUCCAAAUUUGUUGUGUUUCAGCUGUGGUAUUUCCUUUACUUUUUUAAAAACUGCCAGGGAUGCCAUUCAACUAAAUACUUCUGCAUAAGAAGUCUGGUUUUUAAAGCAUUCAGAAGCCCGGUUCCUGCAGUUUGCCAAUAUUUUUGAGAAGUACCUUAUCACUUAAGAUAUUAGGAUGGUGGAUAAUUUUUCAAUUUUGGCUGUCUUUCAAGUGAGUGGCAGCCAACCCAAUAGCUCCAGGCGCGAUAAAUUUGGGACUUGGAUAUGCUUCCAACCAUGUGAUGCAUCAAAUAGAUAAAGCUAGUAUAAAAUCCUGUUAACCUGUUUUCUUCUUCAGCUUGUCGGGAGCCCCACUCUUUGUAUUCUAUUCAUUGCCCAGGAGAACUUCACCUGAGAUUUAUGGGUAUUUAUGCAUGCCCAUAAGGUAAGUAUAAGUAUUCUAUUGAGCUUAACAUUGUUCUACGUUUAUUUUUUGAAUGUAGACGAGAGUUCCUUUCUUGUCACUGCUAGGCUGUCAGUGCAUCUAUCUAUUUAUAUCAAAUACCGAAGUAGUGCAGUAUCCACAGCAUAUUCUUAGCCUUUUCUGAAGUGUGAUCAAACGCCAUUCUGUUCUUCACCCUCAUCCAACACUUGGAACCCAGCUUUGCUUGUGGGUUGCAAGACUCAUGUGAUCCACACGUGUCUAACGUUACUUCACUACUAACUUUUUUUCUUUACUUUUGUCUCCCUCCAUUUGGAAUUCAGAGUGGAACCAUCAUCACAUGGACCAGCCUGUAAGGAAAUAGACCCAUUGGUUGGCCAAAAUAAAAAUAAAAAUUCAACCGUCCAAUAAUUCAAAAUCCCUUGAGGGCUCAUUGCAUCCAAUAAUUCAAGUCCUCUUGCCCCUUCCUCUACUAUAAUAUGGAAGACAAAGACAAGGCCCUCAACAGCUUCAACUCCUUCAGUGUCCGUCAAUGAUUAUCCUAUUCACCACUACUUACCCCUUAAAAUAAAUGUGCAUGUUUUUGGUCUCACCAGGUUCUGAAGAUGCCUUGUGGGAGGGCACACAGAAUGACUAUUUUACUCAUAAAAAAUCAUGGCAGGUAUGAUAAGUUGAGGGCAUUUAUGUAAUUAUAAGAAUGUUGUCAUGUAUGACUUUAAGCCCCUGGUAGAAGGAUGGGAUGUGACGCUAUCAUUGUAUUUUUUUCUUUUUCAAAUAAUGUAUUUAUAUUUCAUGACCCUGUUUUUAAAAGUACUUGUUUAUGAUACAAAAUAUUUCUUGUUUUUGCAGAAGUGGUUCUUUGUAUCUCAUACUUAAAUGGGAGAACUUUCAUGGUCAUAAAUCUCUAUCAUGACCAUAAUUAAAGUGAAACAUCAGAAGAAAUGCUAUCUAAAUCCAUCUGUAAAUACUAAAUACCAUUUUGUUCUCCAGCUUAGGCUGAGUCCCAUCAUCACAUGCCAUUAAAGCUUGAUGUUCCUCCAUUAUAGUGGUGAGUGUGACUUAUGCUUCUUUGCCUUUCACCUCUUAGUCAUAUGAAAUAGCUUCUUCACUUGCUUUUAAGACAUGUUGUGUUUCUUCAACUAGCAUAUACUCACAUGAGAGAGAUGCCCAUUUGUAAUGAGCUGCCAAUCUCACACGAAUGUCCUCUCCUUUACAAUUUAAGAUGCCUAGCUCCUAUCUUUAGUAGUUCUUCACAUGACAAAAUCUAGCUUGAGUCAUUACAGUCAGGAGUGCCUUUUCAGGUUAUUGAAUCCCUUUCUACAUCUUCCUUGACCAGUUUGAUCUCUCUAGAAAGAUUUUGGCCUUGGCUUCUUUUCUUUUCAUACACUUACUGGUUUCAAUGAAGCUUUUCAUUUUCCCAAUAAACACAGGCCCUUUAGCUUCUCUCUCUCCUAUUUGAUAAUUCACAUGUCCUCAGCUAGUUUGCUUCAGAUUUGAGUUUCUACAAAAGUAUAUCAGCUCGUGGUUGUAUGGCAGGUUGUGGAUCCUUAUGUGAGGAGUGUCUCUGAGUGUCUUCAAAAUAUUGUGCUUGUGGGGGCAAGAAAGUAAGGAUCUAGUGAGAUGGGGAAACUCAGUUUUGGCAGGGUGUUAGAUUGUUUUUGUCUUUCUUCGGGAUCGACCUCUUGUUUCUGCAUCAACUCCUUGGAAGCCCAAGAUGAGUUUGAGAGAAAGCCAUUGAUUGUCAGUGAUGAUGAUAGGCAGCUGGUCAGACUGAAGGAUGUUAUUGCUGAGAAGCAGACCCUGGCUUUUCAGUUAAAGCCUAAGGUGAGGUUACUUAUCUUUCAACUCAUUGAUUAGCAUUGCUGUUAUUGUUUCUGAUUUUUCCUUUCCAAAAUGAGCAUGAAGAAAACCUCCAUAUAUAAAUUUGUAUCUGGGGCCUAUGGCUGGAUUAUGAACAAAUAUUUGAAGACUUGAAACCUCAGGCUCAAAGAGUCAAUAGUCGGCCAGCUGAUGACUCCAUAACUUGCUCACUGGACUGUAUAUUCAUUUUUCCUUUGAAGUCAAUGAGUUGCUUGGAACUUCACCAUGUGGAUUCAUAUGCUUGAGAUGUGGAUUAGAAAGUUAGAUCAGUUUUUCUUUUGUGGGAAUCUAUCAGAAUGAGUCAACAACUUGGCCAAAUUUUCAGCUAAUUUUCUCUUGGUGAAUCAUGUAGAUGGUGGUGCUAAGGGUGUCCAUGCACUGCAAUGGUUGUGCAAGAAAAGUUGAGAAGCAUAUCUCGAAGAUGGAAGGUGAGUCAAAUGCCAUGAUCCUCUCAUCACUUUUCAAUAUUAACUCUAUUGCCUUCACUUGUCCCUGCCUCACUUUCCAUAUAUACAUACUAGUACUAUAUUAGUUUUCAGCUCUUCUAUGCGUGUACAUCAAACCGACUCCCCCAUGUUUAUAUCUCAGAAAUUGGCUUGACAAUGAGCAAUACCCCAUUCAAAAAGAUGAACCCAAUGAACUGAUCCUAAUUCUCAAUCUAAUGGACUUGUUUUUAGCCAGUUGUUGGACCCUUUUAGACAAUAAACUAUCACAAUGAUGUGGGUGAUGGGCCUACUGGCAAAAAGUUAUAUAGAACACAUGAAAAAAAAAGGCACAUAUAAUGCAUUGGGUCACAUGGAAGGUUCCCCCACACUUUGAUGUCCCAUUUAAUCCAUUUUUUUAUAUGCUCCUAGUAAACCCUUUUGGGGUGUGUUUCUGCUGUUAGCAUGCUCUCAAUGUUUGUGCUUCAAAGUACUCCUUUGAUCUCUCUCUCUCAACAGGAGUGACCUCCUACCAAGUGGACCUAGAAAGCAAGAUGGUGGUGGUUGUUGGAGACAUUGUCCCCUUAGAAGUGUUGGAGAGUGUCUCUAAAGUGAAGGUUGCAGAGCUUUGGAAGACCCCAUGAUUUGAGAAAACAAACACCCAUCUCAAUGCUUUAGCCACCCCCACAAAGGCCAAAUUGAAAAAAUAUAUACUUUUUUACUAUUUAUUCACCCUAUAUUUGAACAAUAUACUACUACAUUUUCAAGGUCCUAUCUUGUGUUGAAACAGAAAAAGAGCAAAUUUUCAGGUCUCUCUGUGUGAAGCUUGAACUAGAACCAUAUGUAACUCUUGGCAACUACCCCUUAUAUUAUUGUACUUUUAUUUGGUGAAAUGUAUAUGAAAAAAUUGAAGUAUUAGCAAGUUUGAUAAACAUUGUGGCUCCAUUUCCUAUCUGAUACCAGCAUACCAUAUGAUAAUUUUCAUUUGCUCAAAGGCUUAUCACUAUCAGACAAGAUAUUGUUUGGGUGACAAUACAUCUGUGUGGCUCCAAGAAUGUGCCAUGGUCGCCUCCAAACUAAUGGUUGAACAAAGGGAUCAUAAGAUACAAAUUUAGAUCAAAGAGUAAGAGAUUUUCACUUUAAUGUAAAGGUAGUGAAAAUACUUGUAUAACACGAUGGUAAAAUAAAAAAAUGUUACAGUGUUUGAUCAGAUAUACUUUGAGAGUGUGUUUGACAAUGAUUUUAGGAAGGUGCUCUAAGUGUGUUUAAUGUUAUUUCUAUUUAAAGUGUCUUCUUUAAAAGUAUUUUUAGGAUAAUCAUUUAUCGUGUUUUUCCAUAAAACACUAUAAGUAAUUCUUUACUAUUAGAAGUGAUUUUUCAUAUUUUUUUUUAAGUGUUUCCUAAAAUUUGUUAAAUACCUCUUUUUUCUUUUUUUUUUUUCAAAAACACUUUUUUGAUUAAAAGCGUUUCCUAGAAUAAUGCUAAACAGACUCUUCCAAAAUUUUAUUUUUAUUUUAAAAAUAAAAAAUAAAAGCUUUUUUAAAAAAUAAAAAAUAUUGUCAAACAAAAUCUUCCUAUUUUUUUAUUUUUUAUUUUAUUUUUGAAAGUGUUUCCUUGAAAUUUGCCAAACACCUAUUUUUUUUUUUUUCAAAAAGCAUUUGCUAAACUACUGCCAAACAGGCUCUUGAUAUUUUUUAUUUUUUUAUUUUAAAAUAAAAAAUAGUAGUAACUUAUAAGUAAAAUACUUCUUGGAGCCUUGCCUUUUAAUCAAAAUAAAUAUAGAAAUAAAGAAGAGAUGAAGCCCAGUUCACAAUUUUACAAUAAGGGGCUUGGCCCUUUAAAAAAAAAAAAAAGUUACGGUUUUGGGUAGCAUGGACCAGGGCCCAAAAGAUUCAGAUCCACUAUUGGGGGGCUUUUUUUAACUUUUGCGGCAAUUUUAAGAAAUAAUUAUUAAAAAAUGGUAGUUGUGAAAAUAUUGAUAGAUUUACGGUAGUUUUGACCACGUGGAAGGUAUCUUUUGAAGAGACACCUUCCACAAUUUUUAAAAUCAUGAAAGAAUUGAAUUUAAGUUAAAAAUGUCUCUUGAAGAGACAUCUUCUAUCAUUCCAGAAAAUUGGAUUUAUAUUAAAGGUGUCUCUUGAUAAGAUACUUUUCACAAGGCAAAAAAUCCAAUAUGCAUUAAAGGUGUCUCUUCCACAAUUUGACAAAUUUGAAUGUUUCGUGAAUUUAAUUUUAAAGUUAAAGAUGUCUCUUGAAGAGACACCUUCUACAAUUCCUAAAAAUUUUAAUCUAUACAAAAUGUGUCAAAGGUGAAGGUGUCUCUUCAAGAGACGCCUUAUAAAAUUCCAAAAAAUUAGAUUUAUAUUAAAGGUGUCUCUUGAAAAGACACUUUCCACAAUUCCACAAAAUCCCAUAUAUAUAUUAAAAUUUGUGGAAAUGAUUUUAAAGCUAAAGAUGUCUUUCUUCAGUGUAUGAAAACACUUUCAGUAUAAACCCAAUUUUUUUAAAAUAAUGGAAGGUGUCUCUUGAAGAGACACCUUCAAUAUAAUUACAUUUUUUGGGAAUUGUGAAAGGUGUCUCUUGAAUGCUGAAGGUGUUUUUUGAAGAGACACCUUCUAUAAUUACCAAAAAAAAUAUAAUUAUAUUCGGACGACUUUCAUAAUUUUUAAAAAAUUGGGUUUAUAUUGAAAGUGUCUCUUGAAGAGACACUUUUUACAAUUUUUCAAUGAAAAAUUUCAAAUUUUGAAAAGGGACAUUCUACAAUUCCCAAAAAAUAGAAUUAUACUAAAGGUGUCUCUUCAAGAGACACCUUCCACAAAAAAAAAGGGUUUAAAUAACAAAUUAAUUAUAACUAUUUUAUAAUUGAAUGAAAAUUUUUCAUUUAAUUGAUUAGUAAAAAUAUAUCAUAAUUUUAAUAUUAAAUAGAUUUUAAAAUUAAACAUGUUAUAAUCACAUAUCACAAUAUUAUCAUCAAAUAAUAUUUUAUAUAAUUUAAUAAUCAAUGUACACUUAUCAAAUUUAUGAACUUUCCAAAAUAAACUAUGAAGCAAAUGUUCUUAAUUGAAAUGAGUGUUACUGGUCAACCCGUGAUUGUUCAAAUUUUUAUUUUUAUUUUUUUUAGAACUAGGAAAAUUGGAUGAAGACUAUGUCAAAGAAGCUUAUAUCUUUGGCCAAGUCUCCCCAUAUUUGUUCAAGUCUAUUUAUCUCAACAUGAGGUGAAUCCAAGUCUGUGUUUCGGAUCAAAUAUCAAUUCAUGAUUCUUGCAUGUUGUUGUAAUAAAAUUUUUUAUAAGUGAUAAAACAAAGGCUAUGAAUAAUUAAGGAAAAUACCCAAAAGGGAGGGUGAAUUGGGUUUUUCAAAAUCUUUUUCCACACAAUAAUAUAUGCACAAAAUAAAUAAAGGAAAGAGAUAAAGUUAGAGAAUUCAAAUUCGGCUUUAUAGUGGUUCGGCACUCCCUUGCCUACGUCCACUCUCUUGCCUACGUCCACUCUCCUCAAUCUCCUAACCGAGUGAGGGUUCCACUAACUUGAAGCUUCAAUCAAGCUUUCAAUCUUCUUACACUUGGAUUCCGACUCCAAUGGGCUUUUACACAAUCUCUUCAAGAUUUGAACCACUUGAAGGCUUUCACACUCAGUUUACACAAAGAUGGAAUUCUCAACCUAGCUUAAGGAUGGCUCAAGUACAAGAGAAAGCUAGGAUGAAUUACAAGAGUGCACUAAGAAUAUGCAAGUGAUGGUUUGAUGCACUAAGAAAGAAAUGAGAGCUUUUUGAUCAAGAACAGGUAGGUAGGCUUUGAAUGCAAUUGUUCUCUUGUCAAUAAAUGAAGAGGAGCUAUCAAUUUAUAGGUUUCUAAGCUCGGGAGUCAAAAACAGCAAAAGGCAACCUCGUCCGGUCGAGUUAGGGGUCGAUCGGUUCACUAGCCGUUGGAGCAUUUAAUGCAUGACAGGUUACCGUACUUCAACCGGACCUCGACCGGUGCUCGACCAGACCUCGACUGGUGCUCGACUAGACCUCGACCGGUAAAGGAAUCACCUCGACCGGGAAGAGAAGGCUACUGGGAGAGAGAGAAGGUUUUUAACCUUCCUCGACCGGUCCUCGACUGGACAACCUCAACUGGUUGAGCCUUUUUGGCCCCGAAAAACCUAUUUUUUGAUUCCUUUCUUUUCUAAUACUUAGGCAAGGUCUAUAGGUGAGUUAAUAUGCCAAUUUUGAAUCAAUUUGCCUAAGGUAUAUUUGAUAAAACUCGGGUUUUAAAGAAAAUCAAGUUUUAAAGAAUAAACCAAGUUUUCUAAGAUGCAUGAAAAGGUAUGAACAUCCUAAGUGCACUCAUGCUAUCAUCUUACAUUCAUUUCCUAUGAUCUCAAGUCUUCCAAGCAUCUCGAUCUUGUAUCCAUUUGCUCCUUUGAUGAAUUUUCGAGUUUAUACCUGAGAUUUUUAAACAUUAAACCAAUUAGUUACUUAAUCAUGGUUUGUUAUCAUCAAAACCCGAUUAGGAGAACCCUUGGGCUAACAGUAAGUAAUAUCAGAAAAGUGAGGAAGGAGGUUCAAUAUUGUAACUAUCACUACUUUAUAAUCAAAUUGUAAAUUUGGAGUGCUAAAGAAAGCAGCCGGGUUGUAAGUAUUUGGUUUUUCGUCUUCUGGUAUGAACUAGUGCCUGCAUUAUGACUAAAUUUCUGAAAAUCCAGUGGUUUAUUACUACCUGCUUAUUUCUCUACCUUAAGAUUCUCUCAUUCUCUUUCUAUUAUCAUUUCAAGCAACAGAUAGUGACCACUGUCUAGGCCUUUGUGUGGAAACAAAAAGGCUCUAAUCCAUCAUUCAUGCAAGUGACCUUCAGUGAUGUUAUUCUCUUGUGUGGUCUUCUCAGUGAUGGCCCCAUAUCUCUUAAAUAUCCUUUUUGUCUCUAGUUUACCAUUAACCCUAUUCUGAUCUUCACUCUUCAUUGCCAAAACCGUGCUUGAACCUCACAUGGACGAACUUCACUAUUAGACAAGAAUUGAAUUUGAGGCAACACGAACCAUCCAUGUCAAUGAGAAUAUGAAAUUUGGUAUCAAGUGAAGUAGACAAAAUUCAAAAACAAAAACAAAAAUAAUCAAUGAAUUUUUAUUUUUUUUUGCAAUCCCCGUUUGAUUCCCAAGAAAAUCCAUCCCCCAUUCGAUUUUUGGGAAAAUUCAUCCUUGUUUGAUUUCCGAGAAAAUCCAUGCAAAAUCCUUAACGAAAAAAAAAAAAAAGCUUUUUGGACCUAUUCUAGGGUCUCUUUGCUUUUGUGCCAUUGGAUUUAAAUUUCACGAACCCUAAAUCCACAAUUUUUGAGCCAGGCUAAAAAACACAACCUUUCCCCGCAAAUCAUGAUCAGAUGAUUACCAAAUAGCAUCUUAUGUUUUUUUAUAAAAAAAAUUGGACAGAUUUUGUAUCCUAUGCGCGGGCUGGACUGGUAGGAAAUAUUGGCAAAUUAUUUUUUUUUCAACUUUUCCACACUUUCUUGGCAACCAAACAGAAUCACAACAAGCCGAACCACAAAAAAAAUAAAAUUUUUCUCCAUAAUUUUUAGUCUACUCGGUUUCAUUGUAAAAAAAAGCCCGAAAACUUUAUUUUUUUUCCAACUUUCCCACACUUUCUUGGUGACCAAACACAACCACACCACCAAAUAUAACCACAAAACUUAUAGAAAACACCGGGGGCAAUGGUCUCUCAGAUAUGCACUUCACUUCCUUCCUAUUGGUGUUGAGGCAAAGAUCUUCACCCCAUGAUCAGCGUGCGGGAUAAUGGGUUUUCGGGCAGAUGACAAAAUGAGUUUUGAUGAGAGAAGAGAAACGGGCUGGAAGGGAAAUGGAAAGGGGGGAAAUGGGUUUCCACUUUUCAUCCUAUGUGUUCAAAAGUGCCGUCGAAUUAGAAUUAUUUUCCAAACUACGACAUUUUAAAAAUUAUUUUCACUGAUAGCAGUACAUUUAUCCAGAAUCCCACUAUUGGGCUUGCAUGCAAAAUUUUGGUCCUGAUUUAAAAUGGCCCAAAUGAUCCAGUCCAACAUGAAGCUGCUUAAGAUAUUUAUUAUUGUAUUAUUUGUGGGGACAGCCAUGUGCAUGUAACCCACGCCCGCCACCAAAAUCCUUCCCAAUAUUUGAAUGUUUCAGAGCUCAUAAUCUUAAUCUAAAAUUUUCCCCAGUAUAACCAUUUUAGUUAAGUAUCAUAGAAAAAAAUAAAAAUAUGAAAACGAUGUCGUUUUACCGGUGACUUCGUCAACAAUCAGCUGCGGCGAAAUCAACCCUCGAUGUCCAAGUGUCUAGCGGGUUAAGAACACAGAUACCGAAAGAAGAAGACAUUGACGUAUAUCGUGUGGAGUUCCGAAAACAAACUUAUCGCAAUGGCGACGCUCACCAUCCUUCCUCUCCUCAUCUUCUUCAUCCUCUUCCCCCAUUCUUCUUCAGACCCUAAUCCUACUUCUAAAACUUUGGAUUCCAAUGUUUCGGCCGCUCACGCUGAACUCAGCAACUACGGCUUUCCAGUCGGUCUUCUUCCCACCAACGUCGUAGACUACUCCAUCAAUCAGACCUCUGGAGAAUUUUCCGUCAAUCUCGGCUACUCCUGCAAAUUCACGCUCCCUCCCGACAACUACUUGGCCACCUACUCCCCCAAGAUCUCCGGCAAGAUUGUCCAUGGCCACAUCGCCAGCCUUGCCGGCAUUAGGGUUAGGGCUUUCUUCCAGUGGUGGUCCAUCACUGGGAUUCGUUCCUCCGGCGAUAACUUGGUCUUUGAGGUUGGCGUCGUCACGGCCAAGUACCCGGCCAAGAAUUUCCACGAGACUCCUGUUUGUGAGGGGCAUAGAUCGGUUAUGUAAUUUGUUGUCAACAUUUACAGGUUCUUUUCUUCAAUUUAGUCUUUUCCCCCCUCUUUUGGAUGGUAAUUAUUGAAGUUUCGCGAAUCAGUUUCUUUUUAUGUAAACAUUUUAUGCCUUGAAUUUGGAAGAAAGCCGGUGCAUUCUGCAAAAUGUUGUGUUGCCAAUUGCAAUGUUUCGUUGUUUUCUGGUGUGGUUGAACUAGUUGUGUGGAUUGGUAGAUGUAAGAGUCCUUCAAUUAUUUUUGAACAUGUCCUAAUGUCUUUUCAUAGAUUAUGGGCAUAUUCUACUAAUAAUUCUCCAAUGAAUUCUGGAGCUUCUGAGUUGUUUUGGAUGGUUUGUCAUCAUCUUGUUGAAUUUCCCGUGGCUGAAUUAUUGAUUUAUUUCCUAAUCCUGAAUUUGUUUGCCACUAUCAAUGAAUGGAGACUUAAGUUUUUUCUGAAUGAGCUCAUUCAUGGAUGCACUUGAUUUUUGCAAUUUGUGAAUCCAGAAAAAAUGCAAAUUAUCGGAUAGUCAAGCUGGUUUUUUGUGGAUUCGGUAUUUUCCUUUAUGAACAUUAUGUUUGGAAGAAUUAUUUCCAGUGCUAUGUGAUUGAUUCCAUGGUGUCUGAAUAACCCUUUCCUUUCUUUUUUUUUUAUUCUUUUGAUAGGUGAAGCAACUGUAUUAAAAGCGCCCAAGGUAUACAUGAUGUAUACAAGGCAAUAACCCUUUCCUUUCUAUUGAAAGAAAUAUGCCAAUUUGCUAAUAGGGAAUCUAUUUGUGUUGUGUGCUAUACUGUGUAUUCUUAUGCUUUACUUAAGGUCCUUUAUGUGCUAUUUAAUUGUGGUAGCACCUGGAUUAUGUAUUCUUUAUUUGCUGCUGAAUAAUUCAUUGCAAGGAUUCUUGUUUGCUUUUGCUAGGUGGGUUAUUACUUUAACUAUAUUUAUGUGUUUGGGUGCAAUAAUGCCAUUUCUAAACUUGGGGAUGGGUCACCCCAGUUGGGUUUCAGAUGAACUGGUCAAAGCCUCAUAUAAGAAUUGGUGUCAGAGUCAAGGGUCAUGGUUUCAAGUCACGGGUAGCAUGAUGGUGGGGGAGGGACUGUUAGGAUGCAAUGGCACCAAUUGAUUUUCAGAUGAGAUGGUCAAAACUCAUCUAAGAGUAUGGAUUAUGUUAUGUUGGACCUUUUUCUUUCUACUCAGCUUUGUUGAUUACUUUGAGAUUUCUUUUUGCCCUUAGGGGUAUGUGUUCCUGUUUGGGUUUCAUAUUUUGUUAUCGGUUAAGAAAAUUAAUUAUUUUUUAUUGCAUAUCACUUUCGAAUACGUUCGUUCAGCUUUCACUAUGAGAAUUCUGAAUAACAUAUGAUACUCCUAGAGAUAUGAUGAAUAUAACACAUGCAAAUUUCUGGACUGACAACCAGCACUUGGAAUAGAUGCUUAUUGUCAGAAAAUAUUUUGGUGGGCUUUAUUUGCUACUGUUUGGAUGUAAGCUAUCUUUUAUAUGCCAAAGCGACUAAAAAUGAUCCUUUGCUUUUCUCCUAAAAAAUACGAAGCAUUCCAUCACUACAUCAUUAGUAUCUUUUAAUCAUUAAGAGGGAUUUUUUUCCCUUUUAGAAAUUCUUGUCUAUUCAAGUUAAAUGUAGAUCAACCCUGAUGUAUUAAUGAAUAAUUUGCAUUCUUAUUGGAUGAAUUGGGUGGAAGGUUAACCUCUUCUUUUUCCUUUUGUCUUUGCAGGGGCUUUCGGUUACUUUUCCACUGGACUAGGUUGUAUGCUGUGAGGAAAUCCUUAGGGAAUCAAAUGCUCCGUUAGUUGUUUGUAUUGUCAGAAACUUUAAGGGUAAAAGACUAUCAUGUUUCUAUUGUGUAUAUGCCACCACAUUUCAGGGCUAUUGAACUUUUCCUUACAAUUUGGUGUCUUGGAAUAUUCUCCAACUCUUUAUAUCUUUCCCAUUAUGAGAAAAGGGGUGGCUCUCAUGUCUCCCCAAAAAAUUUAUGCCCAAAAAAAAGAAAAAGAGGAGAAUAGUAACACACCUUCUGCCUCAUUCAUAUCUUGAAACAAUGAAGGAUCAUGGAGGCUUCUGCAUGUGUCACCUUUCAGGGACAAAAGCAUCCACAUUUAAGUCAUUAACGGAAAGAUGGUUUGAAAAUCUUGCAUAAAUCUUGGCACUUUAGGUGGGAAAAUAAAUCCCCAUUCCCCCGGUUGCAUGACUGGACAACAGCUCAGGCUUAUUACUGGGUAAGAUUUAUUUGGCUAUUAGCACAUGAUUUGUAAGCUUAAGCUAUUAACCACUACAUAUCCAGUAACACACCUUGAUCCCCUUUCCUUUCACUUAUUUAAAUAUUCAAAUUCUAUGUAGGAAACGUGUCUUUGAUUGUUGAAUACACUUUUGACAUACGUUGAAGGUGACUCACCCACCCUACGCUUGUUGCUUUAUACUGUGUUUCUUUAUUUAAUACCUUAUUAUUCCAAGCAGUUAGACAUAGGAUAUCCAGAAAGUGGAAGUGCUGUGUGUUCAUGGAUCAUCCACCCAACGCUUCUAGAUGCCAUUCCUUUGACUAUUCCCCUCAAUUUUUGAUUUUGAAUUAAAAGUGGAUUCCCAUUACACCGUCCAUGAGUUCACAUGCACGCGUUCCUGCAUGUGCAUGCAUGUAUUGAUUCACUCUUGAAAAAAAUUCUUUAGCAUUGCAUUAUAUUCCCAAAAGUUAUUAUUUUAAUACUUUUUAAAUACAUUUGUCAAAUAGGAGUUUGGAAUCGUUUUUGUUUUUGACACCGUGACUAAAAUCUUGAGCUGGAGAUCAAAUUAUAAAAAAUUUAUUAAACAUCACAUUAAAACGAGACUUUGACUAUUAUAUUUGAAAAUUGAUGGAUGUCCCGAGGUUAAAUCUUUUAGGAUAUCAUUUGAGCGAUUCAUUCCUCUGGGUUUUUUUUUUCUAUUCAGGUAAAAGACAAACAUCACUUAAAAGUGAUAUUGUUUUCAUGAUCUUUGGUCAUUUCAUCUUCAAACCAAUUAACGUGUAAGUUAAACUAAACUUUUUAUGACAUUUUGCAUCCAAUUUUCAAACAUUUCACAAAUGAAGCUAUUGACAACAUUAAAUAAAUUUGAAAAAAAAUGUGUAUCUUGAAAGAGCGAGAUCUUGUUUGACCGAUUCUUUUUCGAAGCAUUAGAAGAUUCUGCAAGCGCGUUAGACUUUUGCUUUCAUAGUAUGGUGAUUCCCUUUUUCCCUUGUUUAUGUUUUUUUAAUCAAAAUUCAUGAACCAGAAGGUUUUGACGAAAAUUCUUUUCCAUCAAAGCCUCUCAUUUUUAAUCAAAUGGCUCCCAUCGGCUCUCGUCUUUACUCCUUUGCAAAUCGAUGUUCCAAUACACUGUGGACCAUAGUAACAAUUCCUCCAGCAACAGAAUGAGAGGUAUCAGAAUCGUCACGCGCUUUCAUGUGUUUGGAUCCCACUCCCCAAUUAGAACACGGAAAAGUGGCUUUUGUACUUUCGGUUUCACCGGAGCCGGCCUCUAUCUUUAAAUUGAACCAAGUCGGAAGACGCGCUGAGGACGCGCGUGAGCCCACUGCCUUUGCUUCAUCUCCAAAACGUGAACGAUUCGUACACAGCCUCAAACCAACAACUAACAACGAAAGUCUCCUCCGAUUCACGACCUCCCUAAGAUCAAAACCCUUUCCUAACCUCCAUCAAAACCCUAGAUUCCUCUCCUCAUCUCUCUCUUCUCACAUUCUUCUCAGGUACUCCUCACAGAUUCUCUCCCUAUAUUUUCCUAUAAUGCUUCGUUUGGCUGCCGAGAAACUAUAGGACAAUGAAGAGAGAGGAGGUUUGGAAUUUUGGAACGGCGAAUUCCAAGUCCAGGCUGUUUGGUGAUUUUACGCUUUCAUUUUUCUUUCCUGUGGUUUCUUGGGAGCCAUACAGGGCGUGAAAGUUGUGAUUUGUGGAGUCUUUGUGCGCUCAGAUCUGUUAUUUUUCUCGUUUUGUUUGGUUUUUAUAUGCUUGUUAUUGUUUCUUUGAAUUUCCGUUUUAUUUGUGCUGAAAUUUUGCGAAUUUGUAUGUAUUUUUCUCUAUUUGAAUGGCUGGGUUGUGAUCAUUUUGAGUUUAUUGAAGUGUUUUAUUGUAUUGGACGUUGAAUUUGCACAAUGUAUGGACAUCAAUGUAUGGAUAAACAUUGAGAUGCUAAAUGCACUUGUAUUGGUUUUGUGAACUGAUUUUGGAAGCUUGUCAUGACCCUUCAAUGCUGCAUAAUUGUUACUCGCAGCAGAGGAUGGAUAUUACUUCCCUUUGGGGAGGUGGUGGUGAUUAGUGUUUAUAGCGGCUGCAAAGCAAGAUAGUUAUGAAAUAAGUGUUCUCCAAACUAGGGCUUUGGUUUGUUAAGAAUAUUCAGCUUCGUAUUUUGGAGAUUUCAUUGUCAUUUGAUAACGUUCUCAACUCAUUUUGUUGAACUCAUCAGCUGCAUUAUGGCCUAAACGUCCAAAACAUGUUUACCUUCCACAUACCUAAAAUGAGAAAAUUUUAACUUAUCCUCUGAUUGUUUGAUGAGGAAAUGGAAGAAAAGGAAAGUACAAAAUCUUGAUUCAUGUUUCCUCUUGAAUUUUUGUUUUUCAUAGAAAUAAUUUCAAGUUGAAAUAUGCCAUAUGGUUGUAUUAGAGGUCAGUAUGAAUGGAGUUUUUGCUUUCUGGAUUGAAAGAAACGUAAAAUCUACAAUUAGAAGUUUUUGCUUCUUUUCUAUUUUUGUCCUUCUUUAAAAUCAAACAAAAGGUUGUUGUAUUUAGUGCACUGUUUUUAUGAGUAUUCAUAGCUGUUGUGUUAUUUCUUUUUUCAUGUCAGCUUCUGUCCCUUUGUUUACUAUCUUGGAUAGGUAUGCUGAGGUUUCAAUACUAAUUGAUUGAAACAGGAAAGGUGGCUUGACAUAUUUUAAUUAACCUCUGGAGAAUGGAUUUGGAAGAUAAAUUUUUUGCUAAAGGUAUGGUCUUGAUCUUUCUUCUAUAUUUAUGCCCCCCCUUUUUUUUUUUUGCAUUGUUUCUAUAAUGCUUAGAUUCUGGCAUGAUAUCUGAAAAGAAAAAGAGAGAUUAUUGGGAUGACUUUUAUGGGUGUAUCAUUCCACUUACAGUCUUUUAUGUUGGAAUGUUGUUCAUAGUGACAAUAUGAUAAAAUUGGGUGUACCAUAUGAUGGAUAAAAGAUGGUCCUUCGACCUUAAUAGAUUUUAUAGAGUGGGUGUGUAUGCAUUAAGGGACAAGAUUUUUUGUUUUUUCCUUGUUGUUUGGGCCCUGAUGUAAGGGGGUAAGUUCCUUUAUACUGUAAUUCUGUGGGUCGCUAUUUUAUCGCCUCUUUGCAAUACAAUUAUAUACUUAUUGAUAAAAAAAAAAUGAUAAAAUUGGGUGUACAAUAUGGAUUGGGAUGACUUUUAGUGCCUUGUGGACCUGUGGUAACUUAAAGUUUGCCUUCUGUGCAUAUUUGUAUCCAGACUUCUAAUUAUUUUCUGGAAUCAUGUUCUUUUCUUUUCUCUUUCAUGUGCUAAGGGGGUUUAUGCUUAUAAAGAUCAUUGUGAUUGAGUUGCAUCAUGUAGAUAUUAGAGUACUUGUUCUAAAGCACUAAAUGUUGCCUUGCAACAUAAUUUAUAUUCAUUCUUCCAACUGAAUUCUUGAUUUGUCAAGUUCAAACAACAAAAUUAUAUUCCACAUACUUUGUAUACUAUUAUAUUAUGUCCAAGAAGUUUCCAUCAACUUGAAUUUGAUGGUUGAAUAGUUAUAAAUUUUUAUUUAGUAUUCACCACCUCUGAGUUGUUUUCAUUUUUCUUUUUUUGGAAUACCAUAUUUCCAUUGCCUUACCAUUUUAAAUGUGUAAUUAACAAAUUCCUGGAACUUCAGGCAAACUUUAGGAAAUAUGGAUUUAUAUAGACAUUUUAUGUUCAAAAGAUUGAACCUUAGGGGACAUUAGAUGGUGGGUGGUGGUGUUGAUUUGGUUUGGUUAGUGUUAUUGGGUUUUCUUCCUGUGGUCAGAAACUCUAAGGUGUUAAUGCAUGUAGACAGCCAUUGCUGGCAAAAUUUUCUGCUGAUGCAAUGCUUAAUUCAAAUAAAUUAUCAGUGUUUGUUCAAAAUAAUAUGUAAAGUUGCUAUAAUAUGACUAUUGUGCAUUCUACCAAUUACAAAUAAAUAAAUAAAUAAAAAAGACUAUUGUGCAUUCAACUAUAUUACUUGUUUCAUUAGUUUCCUCACUUGGGAUCUUGUGAGAAGGUACAUGUUGCACCACAAUGACAAUCGAAUGUAAGAUGAGAGCAUCAAACAAGAUGACUUGUUCAUGUGCAAUGGGGACUAAUCAGUCCACCAAGAAGUAGGAAUAGUUUGUUUUGCACUGAAAGUGCUAAAUGAUGAGGCAAGACCCAAAAAUAAUGUGGAUUAUUGUGAAGAUAGACAUGAUGUGAUAUCAUUUAACAAAAAAAUUGGUACUAGAUUAACUUUUAUGGUAAAAAGGAUCUUAUGCUGACCAAAAGGGUUGGGAUAAAUAUUAUUUCUUAGGUGAGUCAUUGGAAUUAGAUGAACUCAUUUGUGAUGUGAUAUUGUUUUUUUUUUCUUUUUUUUUUUUGGAUAGGCAAACAGAAAAUAUAUUAGAGAACAGUGCCUUACAAAAAGAGACGCACUCAAUGUACACAUGAGGUAUACAAAAGGCUCAAGAAAAGAUAGAAAUCAACUGAACAAGAUAACACACAAGAAGACUUAUUUGCAAUUAAGGGUAUGUAAAAUAUCCAACACUGUGACAAUGUCCAUCCACAUUGCAUCUUUGGACCAUUCCAGCAAAGAUUUCGAAAGAGUCUCCUUCAAUCUUUGAUCUGGGUGAUGGGAUAUUGUUUAUUAUGCAAUAUGUUAUGAAAUAAGCAUGGCAUUGAAAUCUCUUUGUGCCUUUUAAUAGAGAAAUAAUUCUGAUGUAAUUCUAAAGCAUAAAGUUUUUGAUAGAGAAAUGCUUGUGCGUUAAUUAGUUUAAUAAUUAAUGUUUUCAAUUACUGUGGCACAGCAAGAUGAAUUUGGGCUAGAAUUGGUAAUUAAUGGGCAGGACUCAACAGAACCAAAAAUAUGAAAUCUGGUAGUUGCCAAAUUCAAACUUAGGGCCUAAGGACAACAGCAAGAAUCCUUGUACUAUAUAUAUAUAUGAAGGAAAAAUGUUAAAUACAAUUUGGAGUCAAAUGGGAAACCUAUUAAGUAACUGUUUUAAACAACUGCAAGACAAUGUUAACUCUUGUGAAUCAUUAAUGAUAACAACUGAAAAAUAUCAAAUUUCUAUGAUACUUGCAUGAAAUGCAUCAAAACUAAUAUGAACCAUUUGUCUAGCAUUUGGGGUAUGUUUUACAUGUAGAGAAAUGAAUGUGAAAUUGCAAGUGUUAUAUAUUUUUCUGAUAAUAAAAUUUAAAGAAAAUCAGCUCACAAAUCUAUUACACAAGUUUGAUGAUAUAAGGUUAUAUACUCUGUUUCUGUUAUUGUGCAAUCCUCCUUUUGAUGUAACUUGGGAACUUGCAAAGGUUUCUUCAAUCGUAAACAUACCAGAGAAGACCUAACCUAGGAUUCCUAUAUAUGGUAGAGCCUAAAUCAUAACAAAUCACACAUUACCGUCUAAAACUAUGCUCCAACCUGCAUCAAUUGUCAUCUAAUUUCCAACUAAAAAAAAUGAAAAUUCAUCCAAAUAUAAGAAUUAAAUAAACCAAACUCCUAUUAUGCUGCUUGAUAUUAUCAUUUUUUGUUACAUAUGCUUUAGGUGUACAGCAAUACAAUGCUCUUGCAUAGCAUCUCCUUCCCCCUUGAUUGUCUUACUAUUUCCACAUGGUUGUUUGUGGUAAACUAGGCUUGUCGAUAUAUGACUUUUUUUUCUGAGUUUGUCCAAAUUAUCCAGAUUUGGUAAUGUGGUUUCAAGGCAACCUGAAUCUUUGUUUUUUUCUUUUUUUGGAUAAGAAAGCAACCUGAAUCAAUUAAACUGGUUAAGUACUGAAUUGGAUCCGGGUACAAAUUGAACCAAUCCAAUUACCCGAUUUAAUAUUUAAUAGUUUAUAUAAUAUCUUUUUGAUGACUGAAGACCUAACGAUGUAUAUAAAGUUCAUAUGAGGCAGAGGGUUCUUGUUCUGAAGGGUUCUUUCUGAACCCUAACGGCGUUGAUUUCCUUGACUCCACCUGCUUCUCAAAGCUCCUCCAGCAUCGAUUUUCUUCAGUUGUUUCUCCCCCUUUCUCUCUUCAUAAGGAGUAAGGGCAUGCUGUUGAUAAGGUAUUAUUUUUUCAUUUCAAUCCAUUUACAUAUCUUUUUCCUCAGAUGCCCUUUUUUCAUAGCAGGAAGAUCUGAUCUUUCUUUCUUUUGUUUUUUCUUGGAAAUAUUUUUCUUGUAUGAAACCCUAAUCAAUUCCAAGAAGAUCAGACAUCUUGUGUAAUGUGAUUUACUUCAAGAUGAUCUGAUUUUUGCAUACUUAUGUUUCGGAUUUCUUUUGUGAAUUGGUGAUCUUUUCUGUCUCAAGAUCUGAUUCAAUUCAUAGGGCUUGUUAUAUUAAUAAAUUGGGUAUCAAUAGCUCACUUAUCUGAAUUCAGGUUGCUAAUUUGAGUCUGCCAGAUCUGAUCUUUUUCUUUUUCUUUUUUUCCUAAAAGAUUUGUCUUUAGGCUUUGACUCUCAUAAAUGGUGAGGGAAAGAUAAGAGAAAACAAAAUGGAAAUGGGGAAAAAGGCAAUGAGAGAAUCUUGGACGGAAAAUAAAAAACAAUUUUGAGCUGAAUUUUUUCACUCUUUCCCCAAAUUUCCUGACCUUUUUAAGCAGAAAAGGAGGAAUUUCAUAAUGUAUAAGGGUUUAUUUGGGAAUGUUUUUUGAAAGCAUUUUUAAAAAAAUAGUUUUUGAGAAUAGUUCUUAAAAACAAUUUUUAAUUAUUUUUAGUUGGAAAUUCAAAUGUGAAAAACAGUUUGCUCUGGUUAUGAGAUCAAGAUACUACACAUUUAUGCAUUGUGCAAAAGUUUCUAAAGUGUUCUCCACAUUUUUAAUUAUUACUUAGAACGCUUUAUAGAAAACAACUAAAAACACCUAAAAUUUGUUCGAAAAAACAACCUGUUUUUAGAACAAAUUCUCAUAAAACUAUUUCUAUCAAAAGUUUGCCAAAUGUGUUUUCUGGGUUAAAAAACUGUUUUCUGUUUGUAAGAAUGACAAACUGUUUUUAAGAACAGUUAUUAAACAAGACCUAAGUUUCUUCCUAAUUUCCAUCACAUAUACUUUCCUUCUUACUUUCUAAUAGCAACUGAACAAGAGAAAUUGAUAUUCCUUCCAACUUCUUUUCCUUUCCUACAUUGAUUCUAAGGUCUAAAUAGUGACUUAACCUGUAGGGUUGGAUAUGCCUUAUUCAUUGUAAACUUAUCCAUUUGGAAAUUAGCCUUAACCAAAAAAUCUUGCUUGCAAGUUCAUCCUCAAAAGAAAAAUUUGAUGGGCGGGUAUGCUAAAUUUUUGAUAUUCUGAUUGGGUUUGCUUACUUUCCUAUUUGGAUUCCUAGAUCAGUUUACCAUGUUGCCAAUGAGCUCAUCAAAUGAUGUGCUGCAAUGCUUGAGGCCUUUGUUAUGGACUUGUUUCCAGUUUCCUUGAAUUAUUCUUCUUAUUGAACUUGUUGUUCAGCUCUUGUGGCUUACUUUGCUGUUUUUCUAUUCUCUUGUACUCUCCUUGUAACCUCUGAUUUUGAAGGAUGACAUGUCCUUGCCUGUCAUUUUGUUUCAUCUGAUAAUUUCUCAUUAAACAAACAAUAAGAAUGGGUGAAGGAAGGGAACAUAUGUUCACUGGCAUCUCCCUGUAUCCUCUGGUUUUGAAGCAUGACAUAUCCUUGUAUUUUUGUUUUAUCUGAUAAAUUAUUUCUUUCUGAUUAAAAAGAAUUCCUUGUAUUUUUGUUUUAUCUGAUAAGUUGUUUCUUUCUGAUUAAAAAGAAACAAGAAGAAUGGAUGAAGUAAGGGAGCAUAUGUUCAUUUGCAUGAUCCCUGUUCUCUUUUAAUAGAUUUCAUGAUUUCAGUCAACGGGCUUUCCACUUUGCAAAAACUGCUUUUCCUGGAUAACAUUUUAUAUUUGCUUCUUUUCAAAAUUGAUAUUGUUAUUUCCUCAUUUUUUUCGGUGAAUUCAUAUUAUUUAUUUCACUUCCCCCCCCCCCCCCCCCCCCCCCC
rnacentral:lncRNA from 1 species